rnacentral:lncRNA from 1 species
AGAACAAACAAGGUAAUUAGAAUUAAAGGUGUCGUUCGGACAACCUAUAGGCAUAAACAGUUUUUGCUCCUCCUCUUGAAUCGCUUCAGAUUCAUCAAUUGAUUCGGUGAACCAUAUGAGAUGCUUCCCACACCAUGAGCUGGUCUAGUACAGAAUUAGUUGAAUCAAGAAUAUAGCAGAUAUGCAACUAUAGUUGGGAGUUGAAGUGAAGCAGGAGUGCAUUUGAAAAAAAGAAAGCAAGAAGUACCUUUAUACCGAGAGUAAGAAAUUGCUGCAGACAUGUGGUUGUAUCUAAAUCAGUGUAUCUCAGAGCAGCCUGCAAAACUGACCUGUGUACCAUGCAGUGUGAUACACCUGAGCAUCUUGAAUCACCCCAGGAUACCUAAAGUGCCAUUAAGGGAACACUCAGCGAUGGAACAGCAAGUACUAAAUGGUCUAAUAAGUGACAUCCAAAUGGAGAGAGAGAGAGAAACAUGAGCAUGCUUAUCGAGCAAUGGGAACAAGAAAGGGAACACUUUCUUUAGUAAGUAUUUGGCAAUGUUUCCCCGAUAUGCAAGAAGUUACCUAUGCGGGGCUGCAUCGAGAAGAAGAUAUAGGGCUGAUCGAAUAUUUUAUCCUCGUUGCUCUAAUGCUCUUGUUGGCCUGUCCUGCACGACCUCUCCCUUCCACUCCUCGAGGCGCUCCUGCAGUCAGCGCAACCAUCCAUGAGACAAGAGGGGGAGAAGAGAGUGAGGAGGUGAAGGCAAACCUGAAUCACCUCCUGCUGCUCCGGCCGGCGAGCCUCCUUCAACUGCUGACCCCGACCACAUCCGCUGCUCGACCAACCCCGUUGCUUCCACCCAGAGGCGCAGGACUCGCCAUCACUUUCUACCUUCUCCCUCCGAACUGGCCGUCGUCGUGGAGCGCCUAAGGGUGGGAUCAUGCCCAAAUCCGCCGCUCCAUCAACCCAUGCCGCGCCCAAAGACACCGGAUUCUCCAUGGUGUUUUGCCUCCACCCCGACCCGGCCGCCGCCAUGGGGUCAGCCGAGAGGGAGGGAGCCGGCGGUGCGGGGGAGCAUAGGAGGUGGCUGAGGCGAGCGGGGUGAGGGGAGGCGACGACGUGGGAGAAGAGAUGGGGGAGCCGGGAGGAGACGAGGCGGGGAGGAGAGGGUGUGGCGGCUGUGGACUGGGGGGAGGGGAGGGUUCACGCCCACACCCAAGCCACGGGCUGCACGUCGCACACGCGGCGCGCGAGGAGCCGAUUGGGCAAACCCUGGAAAGGCUCACCCAGCCAAUAGCCAUUCGAAGCAAGCCCACCGGUCAUCGGGCGUGGAAAGAUAUUGCACGGUGAAAGCCGCUGAUGACCGGCUGGUGAAAUCCAACGGCCAAAAAAUCAAGUUGACCAAAUUCGACGGCUGACAAAGCUCCAAUCCGGGGGAGCAUUCUGGGUGCAGUUGGCUAGGGUUCUUAUAGGUUUAAAUUUUCAUUCUGAUCCACUAUAUGAUGAAUUGCUAUGAGCUGCUUCUGCUGCUGCUAUAUGAUGCAUUGCUAUGAGCUCCUCCUGUUGCUGCUAUAUGAUGAAUUGCUAUGAGCUGCUGCUGCUGUAUGAUGAGUUGCUAUAAGCUGCUGCUGCUGCUAUAUGAUGAACUGCUAUGAGCUGAUGUUGCUGUUAUAUGAUGAGUUGCUAUAAGCUGCUCCUGCUGCUACUAUAUGAUGAAUUGCUAUGAGUUGCUCCUGCUGCUGCUAUAUGAUGAAUUGCUAUGAACUGCUCCUGUUGCUGCUAUAUGAUGAAUUGUUAUGAGCUGCUGCUGGUAUAUGAUGAAUUGCAGACUGCCGCUGCUGUAAGAUGAGUUGCUAUGAGCUGCUGCUGCUAUAUGAUGCUUUCAGGUGGUGCUGCUAUAUGAUAAUAACCAGCCACUUGGACCAUCAAAUUUCAAUAAAUAAUUGGUCUUCAUUUAAAUGUGGGUCAUGCGUUCUUCGUUUAAAUUAGGCAAUGGGAUCUCUAUGGAAAACAUUGACCAAAGUAGAUUGUGCCAAGUAGAUGGUAUAUUUGUAUUUGCAUUUUGAGCAAAUAGUGAUGGUCUGUUUUCCUAUCAUAUUAAUUACUGCACUGGGUUCAAUUUGUGAUGUUUAUAAGUCAAAUUAAUUUCCAUAUGGGCAGCAAAAUGAAAAAAUAUAAUGCAAUCUAGACUUUCCACUGAUCAUACCAAAGAUAAGCUGAAAACGCAAUGAAAAUAACUGUUUGGCUUAUUACAUGGAGCUUAUAUUCACAGGUGCUUAUUUUCUUAGGAUAACUCGUAAUAAUUGUCCCUAAGAAACUUGGCUAAUAGAACUGGCAUACAAAUAACAUGUCACAAUGAUUGCAAUGGAGGAGUGACGUACCAUAGCACACUGUAUAGGCUCAUCGCUGCCUUUCCUUUUUUUGCGAUGUUCCAUGAAAUUGCCACAUACAUCUUGUACUUUUUCAUUGUGUAACCCAAUCUGCAAGUUGACAAGGCUAAUUUCAGACAUCUCUACAUGAUACUACAUUGCAUAUCCCUUGCGCAUAUUUAAACCACCAAUUAAUGAUUGUGUGCGUACCAUAAACUAGCCAUGACUUUGUAUGUUGGACCAGCAGGCACUCUAAGGGAGCCUAAUGUAGUGCACUGGAAUUCCUACAUGCCACCUACGAUUUUGUGUAAUGUACUGCCCAUGUUCCUAAAUAUAUGUCUUUGUAGAGAUUCCAGUAUGGACCACAUACAGAUGUAUAUAGAUGCAUUUGCGAGUGUAGAUUCACUCAUUUUGCUCCGUAUGUAGCCUAUAGUGGAAUCUCUAGAAAGACUUAUAUUUAGGAACGGAGGUACGAGGUAGUAUCAUGUAUGACAUCUACAUAUCUAAUUUAGCAGCCAGUAGUAGAAAUCAUUGUCUGCACAAAGGGGUUACUGGUCGAAAAUCCUAGCAAAGCACGCAGGCAGGCACAGAACAAUACAAGAGAUAGAGACGCGCUUACAAGAGCAUAGCAAUGCCUCAGUCCAGGUUCUUGGUUGGGCAAGCUGUUAGAUCCAGAAGAAACGUCGUCCUUGCAGUUUUUCCCAGCUGCAUAACAGGUAACAGCAACCGGUUAGUAUAUUUGAAGUACAUCGGACAGGUGAUGUUGGACGGGUUUAAAGGUGACAAGUACCUAGGCCGUGGCGGGUGCUUGGCAUCUCUCCAGACAGUGGGAAUCAGGUUAGAAACGUCAAGGGUGAUGACACCAUGCUGGUUGUUGGGGUCCCGUAAGGAGAUCUAGAACCGCGAGUAGGGUGUUUGUGGAGCGGCUCCGGUAGGAUGGACUACGGUGUGGGCGAAGCGGAUCUGUGGCCGUGGACGAGGGCAUAGGUGAAGUUGCUCCGGUGGUUGGGUUAAGGAUGGUGUCGACGACGCGGAUCUGCGGCCGUGGACGGGGCGUCAAAAGCUGCUCUGAUGGUUGGGUUAAGGAUGGUGUCGAUGAUGCGGAUCUGCGGCCGUGGACGGGGCGUCAGAAGCUGCUCCGGUGGUUGGGUUAAGGGCGGUGUCGACGAUGCAGAUCUGCAGCCGUGGACGGGGCGUCAGAAGUUGCUCCGGUAGUUUAGAUGAGGGUGCGUGGAAGCGGAUCUGAGACCGUGGACUUGUGAGUUGGCAAAGCGGCCCUGGUAGGGUUGAGAAUGGUAUAGGCGAAGCUACUCCGGUAGGGUUGACGAUGGUGUCAGCAAAGCGACUCCGAUAUGGUUGAGGAAGGUGUCGGCGAAGCGGCUCCGGUAGGGUUGAGGAAGGUGUCGGCGAAUAGGAUCAGAGGUUGUCGACGGGGGCGUCAGUGGGGCGGCUCCGGGGGGUGUGGACGAAGCGUCUCCGGUGGGAAGUACGAAUGAGCUGCUGCAGAUGCGCGGCGGUUGACGAGAGUACUGGCAAAGUAGAUCCGGUGCAGUGGACAAGGCCGAUACUGAAUGGGCUGUGGUACAGUGGUGGAUGAGCAGUCUACUUGUUUCUAGGGGAGGUGGGAGGGGUAGAUGCGGCCACAGAAGCAGAUCCAGCGAGGUGGACGCCGCUGGCAGUGAAUGGGCUAUGGUACUCCAGUGGAUGAGCAGUCUAGGGUUUCGAGAGGGGAGGGGAGAAAGGGCGAUGAAGUACGGAGGCGUGAUGUAAGAUGCUCUGGUGCUAUGGAGUUAGUCGUUGUUGCGGGACGGGGAGAGGAAAUGGGGUUUCCGUGUAGUGGGGGGAACCGGAAGUUAUCAAAGGAGCCCCGACCUAUCAUGUAGAUGAGGGCAGUAUUGUAACUGUUGGUCUCCGUGCACCAAGGACAAAGGGGGGAUUUCGCAUGCUAAAGACUAAGGUGGCGGAAAUUUUAGAAGGAGGCGGGAGAUUUUGCCGCCCGCAGGAUCGUUCGUAUCCAAUUUCAACUAAUUUUAGACCGUGCUAGAGGGAAGGUCAUGCUAGACUGUGUACACAGGGCAUGCGUCAGCAGUUAAUAACUGGUGUGAAGUCCACACCCAAAAAAAGACAAUAACUCGGGAUGAUGCACCGAUAACUUGGACGUUCACACGGGCGCGGCCAAUCAUACGGGUGUAGUGGCGCGUUCACAAAAAAAUGGAUCAAACGCUCAGCCUAUGUAUUUCUCGUGUAAAUAGAUAAUUUAGUGCCAUUGGUUAUUUACUUUAAACAUAAUGCAUUGAUGUGUUAGUGUAGAGGCGCACAAAAAGAAAUGGAUAUUGUAGUCAGCUACUUAAAAGUGUUACCUCAUAUAAUUACAUAGCCUCCAUUUCAUAAAUUGCAUACCCGUUGAAUUCAUAUAUGAAUAUUACAUAUAUUACUUCAAAAUAUAAACUUAAAUCAUCCAAGACUAAUGAAUUUGAAUGCAAGAGUAACAAUGGUGCAUGACAUGAUAGCUACAUUGGUUUUUUGAAGAAACAUCACUGUAACUUUGGCAUGCACAACUGAAAAGGUUUAUUUAAAUAGAAAAAAAUGUGAUAUGUGAGUGUCCAAUCUUUAUAGCGUUGAAUCGAUAUUGUACCUUUGGCCACGAUACGAAGUAGAUAUGGACUAAUGUUCAAGCGAUGCAUGUCCACGAUCGCUACAUAGUGAUACGUGAAUGAAUUAUGCAAUCUCUCUCACACGCAUACAUAUCUCAUUUCCCUGUGGGCAUCGGAAUCACACACACGCACUUCAUGUAUUUCUCUCCCUCUGUCAGGGUAAAAUUCGUCUUUCUACCCCGUCCUACAAGUCUCUCACACAGAAACACACACGCUCUCUAUGUCUAACACGCCCACCCCUUUAAUUCCGCCCACCCACAUCCACUAAUGUCUCAAAGUAUAAUAAUGUCUCUCACACAUAUGCUAUCUACCUAUCCCUUAAUAUAGCUAGAUAUGUGUCACACAAACUCCUUCUCCCUACUAGCAAGAUGCCCAUGCGUUGCACGAAAGAUCAAGAUGCAUUUGUAUGAGAAGUUUAUCUUGUGGGAGAAAAGGAUGAACGAGGGAAUGCCUUAUUUGCAAAUAUGGAGAGGGGUGUGGGUAUCUUUUUGCUAAAUGGCCAUAGUUUCCUUCCUAUCCGUCGGAUAUAAAUCAGAUGGCCUAUAUUGCAGGAUGGCAGGAACACCAUCAUCACCAAGUCUAUUUUUUUAUAAGAGUAGAGAUGUGUGAGUNNNNNNNNNNNNNNNNNNNNNNNNNNNNNNNNNNNNNNNNNNNNNNNNNNNNNNNNNNNNNNNNNNNNNNNNNNNNNNNNNNNNNNNNNNNNNNNNNNNNNNNNNNNNNNNNNNNNNNNNNNNNNNNNNNNNNNNNNNNNNNNNNNNNNNNNNNNNNNNNNNNNNNNNNNNNNNNNNNNNNNNNNNNNNNNNNNNNNNNNNNNNNNNNNNNNNNNNNNNNNNNNNNNNNNNNNNNNNNNNNNNNNNNNNNNNNNNNNNNNACACACUUCACAACACCAAAGGAGUAGGGUGACACCUCGAUCUUGAUACUAAUCUAUCAAAUGGCUUCUCUCUCAAACAUACACACACACUACCUGGCACCGAAGGAGUAGGGUGGCACAUCGAUCUUGAUAGUAAUCUAUCUACUCCUCUUUCAAACACACACACACACACACACACACUCGCUAGUUGUGCCUCUGUGCCUACCGCACACACUCUCGAUACGUCUUUCUCCCCCUCCCAAGAAUGACAGCAGAAGGGUGACAACUCGAUCUGAUCAUAAUCUAUCAAUUGGUUUCUCUCUCAAACAUUGUGUCUCGGUGCCUCGCUCGGUAGCCCCCUCAAUAUGUAGACUUCUCGCGCGUGCACAACUGUAGUGAUGAUGAUGAUGAACCCAGCGUGCCUUGUUUUUACCGGCCUCAUGUGAUAGUUUUCACCCUGUUUUCUGUUAAUUAACAAGGCAACCUUUUCUUUGUUACUACUAGUGAAUCUAAAAUCAUUCGGGGCAGACAUAAAAUAUAUCACUUCAACCCAAUUAUCACAGCAACUAUUUUAAAAGAAAUUAGCUAGUUGCCCGUGCGUUGCACGGAACAUCAAGAUGCAUUUGUAUGAGUAGUUUAUCUUGUGAGAGAAAAGGUUGAACGAGGGAAGGCCUUAUUUGCGAAUGUGGACAGAUGUGUGGGUAUAUUUUUGCAAAAUUGCCAUAGUUUCUUUCCUAUCCGUUAGAUAUAAAUCCAACGGCCUAUAUUGCAGGAUGGCACGCACACCAUCAUCACCAACUCUGUUUUCUACUCCCUCCGUCCGAAAAUACUUGUCAUCAAAAUGGAUAAAAAGAGAUGUAUCUAAAACUAAAAUACGUCUAGAUACAUUUCCUUUUAUCCAUUUUGAUGACAAGUAUUUGCGGACGGAGGGAGUAUUUGUCAUUUUAGAGAUUUCAACAAGUGACUAUGACCGGACCUUACCAACAUACUCAAAAAAGUAGUCCAUAAUUUUGAUGUUACCCUCUUUUCUUGGCGGUGCAAUGCCAUCUAGAUACCUCAUAAAUAAAUCAAGGACAAAUCUGACCCCUUCCUGAAAAGACAUACGGAGCAAAAUGAGUGAAUCUACACUCUAAAAUAUGUCUACAUACACAUCCGUAUGUGGUAGUCCAUUUGAAAUCUGAAAAAGACAAAUAUUUAGGAACGAAUGGAGAUAUAUAAGAUAGACAGUGAUGGAGAUAUAUCUCCAGCAUGGUCUACAACAAAAAUGUGCUGGGCUGGUUAGCGCCGGAUGCUCGCAACGCGAUGACAUGAGUUCGAAUUCUGUCUUUUAACUUUAGAUUUUUAUAUUUUAUAUUACUCUACUUAUUUAAUAUGUACUUCUUUCGCUACUGUACUGACAGUGGAACCCACAUAGUACUUAGAAUACAAGAUUAAGGAUGGACUUGUUUCUUUUUAACUUUCUGUACGAAGUUGUAGCCACCCUGCAAGUCACGUGUACACUAUACAUGCAAUUAACUUUUUAUAGAGGGACAAUCAUACAGGCAAUUAACUCAAAUGGAUUGGAUGCCACUCUAUUAUUUCCAGCAUAAAGAGCAUCUCCAACGGCAGUCGGCAAAUUUCCUCACGCUUCCUUCCGCGGAGGACGACAUCAAACGCCAGCGGCAUAGAUUUUUACAACUCUAACCAACCAGAUGAAAUUCGUGCAAACACAGACUGAUUUCAUAUAAGAAUGAAGGAUUUCGUAUAAAAAAGUUGGAUCUUCAUAUAAACAUGAUGGAUUUCAUUACAUUUACAUGAACUAAGAGGUGCCAAUCCGGCUCUCUUAUAUAAUUAAUACUCCCUCCGUCCGAAAAUACUUGUCCUAGAAAUGGAUGUAUCUAGAAUAAUUUUAGUUCUAAAUGGCCGCCCGCGGAUCCCUUUGUCUUCCUCGUGUCCAUUAGACACUUGCGGGGACGACGAAGGUCCUCGGAAGAGACGAAGCAUCAAAGAAACCACCUGAAUCCGCGGUCGUCACCUCGGCGGUGGCCUUCAUGGGUCCCAAGUGGCGGCGGCCUCCCGUGUUCUACUUCUCCUCGAUGAUGGAGGCGGACACGGAGAAGGUGGCCACCGACUCGUCGCUCUCCACGCACCCGGCUUCUGUCUCUGCCUGCAUGGCGCUGCCGCAGGCACGAGAAGCGCGCCCACAGACAUGGGAGGCGCGGCCACAGCAGACACUGGUGGCGCGGUACGACGCGGCAGCGACGGCGCCUGUACCGGCAUGCUCGCUGCCGUGCCUCCUUGGAGCAACUCGCCACUCCUCAUUGACCUGAACUGGAGCGGCGAGUUGCUGAACCACGCGUCUGCUUGGGGCGGCAACUGGCUCCGUCGGUCCAAGCGAGGUUGGUGAAGCACCGAGCGGCCUCGCCCGUAUCCAUAGGGCUCGGCGGGCCACCCAGCCGGGUAAUAUGCCGGAGAACGGCUCAUCGGAAGCCAUCGGAAGAGUGGAGAAAAUGCUGAAGGAGGAGAUGGGGGAGUGGCGGAGGGGUGCGAUUCUUGCUUGCUGUCUGUCUGGCCUCGUGUAAAUAGAGGGCAGACGAUAGGAGCUUGGCCAGCGUCUGGCCUCGUUUAAACUGAGGGCGGACGGGAGGAGCUCGGCCGGUGUUGUGUUUAAUUCCGGCCCGCUCAUGAACGGACGUGUGGCCGGAGUAGGCUUCUCGGUUUGCAUGCGGGUUUAACAGAGGGGUUUAAUGGAGGCGCCGGGCAUGCAGCGGGCGGUGCAGUACUAUUCGAUUUGGCAGCAGUAAUGAGCCGUCAAAUCACAAAGGCCCUCGCCUCUCAUGAAACCGACCGAGCUAGACUGCCCCGCCCUCUAGCCUUUUAAAAAAUGUAUAUACUCCACUUUUAUACAGUAGUAGUAUCGAUGGAUGCGCCAUGGAGCAAAACUUGAAACAAAAAAAGGUGGUACAUAUAGAGAGCGCUCGUCGCCAAAUUAUGCAUAUAGUACUAUUAAAAAGGCUUGUCACAAUAAUGGUGUCCAGCAUAAGUGCACAACCCACCCCUCAAAUAAAACUAAGCACCCUGGAAUUCUUUGACAAAACUAAGCACCCUGAAAUUCUUUGACAACUAAACUGCUGGCUAUAUGAUGUUGGCCAUAUAUAUUGUACGUAUAUAAUGUCAAGAAAUGAGUGGUAGUACUAUACCAACUAAAAGAUGAAAUGUAAGAAAUACUAGUAUGUACGUACUGACGAGUUAAAGUAACGAGAAGAAACAUAACAUAGUUCUGCUGGGGGCUCAGCACAACACACCCCUCAAAUUAAAUUAACCACACCUGAAAUUAAACUUUGCAACUAUUCCGGUAGACACUACAUUAGAAGUUUAGAACCACCAUGAGCAUCGACAUUGCCACCUUACUCGGAGUCGUCGUCCACGUCAUCGACUUCGUCCUUGUCCCUCUUCCUCUUGGCGGAUACUUCUUUGCUUGAACUGCACACUUGGCUGUUGCUCUUCAUCCAACCCUCAUAGAUAUUGAAGCAAAGGUAGCCAUCUAUUGCAGCAUAGUGGAUGUGGUCUAUAUCUAGUACAUUCUGCUGCCAUGCAUAAUGAUGAAAUGUGUAUGGAGGUUUCUCCAGUUUACCGUACGAAGGAUGAACCAUGGCUCCUGCCAGGGUCAUCAUUGAAGGCUGACGAGAGGACACCAGCCGAUUCUUCUGGAGGUCGAAGGUGUUGCCUACAACGAGGCCUAUCCAACCCAGGACUUCUGUGUCAUUACCAAAGUCUACAGUAACGAAUUUGACUAGGUUGCUCUUGAGGAAGUCCUUAAAAUCCAGGCAUUCAACGUCGGCAUGGCAUAUGUGGUAGACCAAGCAUAAGUCAUGCACGCAAACCUAGAUCCCGGUGGGCUUCUUCCUCUCUUCGUCCUUUAGAUCCUUCUCUCAUCCUAGGAUUGUGGUGUACUCAACAUCUAGCCUAGCGACCCACUCAUCAUCUGAGUCUUCGAACAUGCGUUUGAAGCGAGAAAGACAUCCUUUCACCGUCGCAGAAGAACGGGUGUAGAUGACGUCGAACUCAUCGUCGGUGAUGGUUCUAACCUUGUACUCACCGCCAAUCAUGGAGAUUUGGGACGCCAUGGAUUUGUGAGGAGGGUUAGGAUUAGUGGAACUGUCGUAGUGUGAAUGGACGGGACGACUAGGAGCAAACCGCUAUAGUAUUAAAGGACGUGCGAGGACGACUAGGAGCGAACUGCCAGCGUGCGAACGGCAGGGUAGUGGCUUUCCAUUCUCCCAUGAUACGGGCUUCCGAGAGCCCUUGGAUAUGAGAUCGAACGGUUGCAUGGCGCGAUUCUAGACCUAUGGGUGAAUAUCCUAUCCUGGAGGGUUAUUCUGCAAAUUUUCAGCAACUUAGCAUGCGACCGUUUGAUCUCAGAUCCAAGGGCUGCCAGCAGCCCGUAUCAUGGUCGCGCCUACCACGACCGUCGCGUUGCUCGCAUGGUCGCGCCCUUGGAGAUUUAACAUGGUGCGUUAGGCUAUCUGAUGUUGGCAUGUCAUACAUAGUCAUCACUUAGUCACUCAUACUACAACAAGGUUAGCUAUAAGGUUGGCUAUAAGUGUAUUUUUUUACUCCUCUCUGUCUCUUUAUUCAUACUCCCUCCGUCCCAUAAUAUAAGAACAUUUUUGACACUAGUUUAGUGCCAAAAAUGUUCUUAUAUUAUGGGACACAGGGAGUACUAGUAUUUAUUGCAUUUGCCAAGGAGUGACCUCUUCCAAUGAAAUGGUGUGCUUAUUAGUUUUUUGUUGCUAAGUUUGCUUCAUUUAAUUAGCUAUAGACUCAAAAUUGUCUUUUCACCUAGGUACAUGCAAUUAGCACCGUUUCUUCCUUGGGUCACCAAACUAGUCUCUCUCUUCUUGAUUAACUUGCCACAUCAGACUUUAUGCCUAUGUAGAAAGCUUAGCACAUGUAGGAGCAAGUAAGUACAAUAGUGCGCUUUACAUGGCAUUUUUGCAUAUGUGGAGGAAAGAGAGGCAAGGAAAAAAUGGAGAAGUGGGCUCUUAUGCAAGAGCCAGCCUCUACUACAUGGUGGAGCAUUGGGAGAGGCACCUGUAUGAAGGUGGUCAGGAAUCGGGAGACUCACGCCGGUCGUAGCGCCGCAGUUAAAAUGAUAAUGGCAAGUCAAAUCACGGGGCCCCACCUGUCCAGCAGUAACUCGAUGUCAAAUCACACAGCCCUACCUUUGCACCAGCCUACUCCCUCGUCUUCUCGCAUCUCUGUCGAACCGACUAGGCGGAACUGCCCCGCCUACCGCGUAGGAAAAGCCCACACAGUAUACUCCCUCCGUCUAGGUGACCAAGGCGGAGAGGAAAAUGAGAGAACUUAAUGUUUAGGGAGUAUUUGAUAAGGCUAGUUGUAAUGGUACUCCCUUCUUUCCGGUUUAUAAGGCUCAAUUUAAAAAUCUCACCAACCAAGGUAAAUGGUGAGUGGUGGAAUACUUUUUGUAGUUUGCAAAAGCACCUAAUUAAUGCUCCUGUUUUUCUCAAAAUAUUAUGUUUACCAAUGCAUUAAUUGCAAUGCAUGCAUGCAUAAAGUACAUGCAUUGGUCAAUUUUCUCUCAAUACUUGCAUGCAAUGAUUUAAUGCACCUUGGAAUCUGAACAUGUGAUGGGAAACAACCAAAUUGAGCCUUAUAAAAUGGAAAAACUAAAAUUUUGAGAUAAAAACUAUAAACUGGAAAGGAGGGAGUACUAGCCUUAGCAAUUUUGAUGAGGUGUCAUAGAAUUAAAUGAAGAAAGAGAUAGAGUUGAGUACUAUGUGUCAUACAUGGCAAUAAAUAAAGUACUACAUGAUACUAAUAUAUGAUACAUGGCGCAGGAGUACUAAGUAUUAUUAAUACAGUUUUGCUAGAACUCACCUAGAUGAGAUAUAAUUUGGUCUCAUUCAUCUUUUAUAGCCAUUGGAUGUGAUGUUAUAAGAUGCGUGUGUGCUGACGUGGGUUGUAUUUGUUCUUGUGCAACGAACUGGCCACUGCAUGUCAUGUUUGAUAGUCUCAAGUCAUUAAAAGCAUACAAGCCCCACAUCUCUUAUUGGUUGAUUCCUCUAUUUAUGUCAAAAAAUAAGAAACAACGUGAGAGUUAAUGCACCACGCCUAUGUGUUUACUAUUUGGUUUUUGUAAGAUGACUUGAUACUCACCUAGACGGAGGGAGUAUUCGAUUUGACAGCGGGCGGCGCAGUUCCCGAUACGGCUUUAAUGUAGACGAGGGAGGGAGUAGCGGUUCCUGAUAUGUUGAACGGCCAAUGCAUCCUCCUUCAAUUAAUGCAUGAGGGAAGUAAUGGGAGGAUGUCCAGGAAAAGAGGUUGCACGAUGUGAAUGCAACGCAGUUUGCCCUUAUUGCCCUCAUAUAAAGGCGCCCCUCCAUUCCAAUGCAUCUACCACAUCGUACGCACCUAAGCAUUUGCCUAAGGCACCUACACUAAGCGCAAAAGAGCUCACUCCAGACCCAUGGCGGCGAUGCGCGUGAGUGGCCAGCGGCUGCGCCAGAUGGUCCACGACACCGGCCUGCGGCAUGGCGUCGACGAUCGUCUCCACACGGUGUUGGAGACCGGCUGGUGGAUGGCCGCCGUUGACGCCAACUACGACUCUCAGUCGGACCAGAUGAUCGUUGCCACUAGCAACAAGUUCACCAUCCUCAAGAAGCUCGCGGACGAAAUCGCCGUACUGCUCCAGCCCGCGUGCCCAGGAUCCUCAUUGCCUGCCACCCUAAUUGGCCUCCAUGGCCGGAACCUCUUUCAAGCACGGGUGGCCCUGCGACUGCCCGCUAACGCCAUGAAGAAUGUCCACCUGGAGGUCGCGCUCGCCGCGAGGCGCCUCACCCUGCAAGAAUUCGUCGACCUACACAUCCAUGUGUACGAGCAAAUCGUAUACAUAGGUAUCUACAAGGCCAGUGAGGACGCUACGACGUUGGCCUUCCUCAACCGACUGGAAGCCUUGGAUGCCUUUGCUGAGAAGCACCUCGACCUCGCCACAAAAGCCGCCGCUCCUUAGCCGCCGGUCGGUGGCUCGGUGCACUAAGUUGAGGAGGAGUAGAUCGUACGUUCAUGGAUCCAUCUUUCUUCUUGCCUUCUGUAACCACCACUGCGAUCACAUCAUCGUGGCCUUAAUUCUUAUUGUGCUAUUGCAUUCUUGUUCUAGUCAAUACCGACAUGUGCAAUCGUUUUGCUUAAUUAUAUGCAUCACUGUAACUAGUACUCCAUCCGUCAAUUUAUAAGUUGUGCUUACCUUUUCCAUCAACUUCGUGCAACGCGCGGGCAUCUUGCUAGAAACACUAGAAUAUGUCUAUAUAAUCCGUAUGUGAUAGUCCAUUUGAAAUCUCAAAAAAGACAAAUAUUUAGUUACGGAGGGAGUAAUAUAUUAGGAGUAUAUCAAAACAAUAGUGAUUUCUUUCAAGUUUGUGAACAAAUACUACUAUUCUACUACUUUGGAUCCAUCGCAACGCACGGGCACAUUGCUAGUAAAAGGAAAAGGCCUGCGGCGUUCGCGUCGCACCCCUACACACCCGGGAAUCGGGAGUCCUCCACGGCCCGUCCCGCAUGACACAUAGCUUAGGGAAGGAGUGUUGCCUAGCAUUUUCACUUUCAUGUGGGACCGCUGUUGAGCAAACCGACACCUCGCCCGCCGCCGGGUUGGGAAACAGAAACGAGGGGAAGAUCUAGCUAUAGCACGGAAGCCAAGAAAUUUGGUGUCAGAUGGGGCUCGUUGAUAGAGUAGGAGCAUUCCGUACUAGUACUACUCGUACUAGUACCAAGUUUGUACUCAUAACUAUAUUACUAGUACUACCACUAUACAACUAGUAGGUACGUGCACGGCACAACAUCGUAGGAACAAAAAAUGGGAAGAUCUUGUUUUGGGUGAUUUAUCUUUUUUUCAAUCAACAUAGUAUGAAUAAUAUGAUGUGGGGGCACCCAUGAAGCUUAUGUGGCUUGGUUGCAUGGCUACGAAAGGUUAGAGAAAAAUAAAUAGAUAAUGUGUUUAGAGUGCACUCCACUAAAUAGAUAUACUUUGGAUCCAUUGCAACGGACCGGCACAUCUAUAUCUAUACCCCCUAAAUAGUGUGUGAAAAACUUUGAAAGUUGGUCGUUGGAUGAAGCCAAUCCGACGGUACAAAGAUGGAAAAUCCGAGCACUACUGGCCGUUGGAUAUCAUCCACCAGAUUCUGCCACAUGUAUAAUCUAGAAGACUCCAUGGUUGAACUUAAUUCAUGACUAACUUUGCCACAACUAAACUUAGGCAAAGUUAUUAGUUCUUCAAAAUGAGAUCCACAAGUUGGCAAGCCUAAGGGAAUCUUGCCACAUUUUUUGUGUGUAUGUCAUGUGGGGCCUUAGUGUGGCUUGCCUAAGGUGUGGCUUGAACCAAACACUCACCUAAGUUAAUCAAACUUUCCUAACCUUACAUUCCACCAGAUUUUGCCACAGGUCGGGGGAUGUGUGUUGUCAUGGGUUCGAGCGGCGUCGUGGGAAUCGCAUGUGGUUGUGGUAGAAACUUGAUGCUCGCUGCAUUUUAGGUGGCCCACAUGUCAUGCACACAAAGGCAGAGGGGCGGUGCGGCCGAGAGGGGUGAGGCGCAUGUCGGGGGGCGUGGUGCCGUGGGUUGGAGAGGCAUCGUGGGAAUCGCAAGAUGAAAUGUGAUAGUCACCAUAGUUGAACUUCCAUGGACAAGCUAUCAUGUCUAUGGACACAUGCACUGCAUACCGAUCAUUGGAAGGAGUAGCAGAGAAAGCUAUAUAUGCGGAUAAAUAGUUCCUUAUAGUCAAGCGGACCCACGCUACUACUCUGUUCCAAAGACAUGCACACCAUCGAAAUAGUCCAUCUAUAUCAUAUACAUUGAGAGGGAAUAAUUUUUUUUACAAGAGAGGAAAUAGUUCAUCCAUCCAUAAUGCCCUCCUACUGGUGCAGCCUUUUCUUCUUCUUCUUCUUCUUCUUCUUCUUCUUCUUCUUCUUCUUCUUCUUCUUCUUCUUCUUCUUCUUCUUCUUCUUCUUCUUCUUCUUCUUCUUCUUCUUCUUCUUCUUCUUCUUCUUCUUCUUCUUCUUCUUCUUCUUCUUCUUCUUCUUCUUCUUCUUGUUCUCAUUCUCCGUGGGAGACGGCUUCACAACAAGCUCUUUGGACCUUGCAGCUAUCUCGAAACUCACACGGGCAUCGAGGGCAGCAUAUUUUAUCCGCUCGUGCGUCAAGGGAUAAUUCUCCCAUCUAGACGACCUUAAUGCCACCGUCUUGUCACCCUUUUGAAGAUUUGUACCGAGCACAAAUUUUGUUACGUCGAAUAGGGAUGGUGUCUGUUUAUCACAAUCUUCUAGAGGAAUUUUGAUUCUGGUUUGUAGGUCAGCGAUGCUUUUCAAAUCAAGGUUGUACGGCUCCAGCUUCUGUUUGUCCCAUUCGAUGGCUGCCCCACAGAAGUAUACGUCCUCCCGAUACAAGAAAUCGUGAAGCUCACCUGGUAUGGAGGGCGAGUGUAUGAUGUGGUACACCAAAACAUCAUCUUCGAGGCACAGCUGAAGGAUGGCGGCGCGCUGGAUCUUCCCAGGGGCACGCUCCGUGUACUCUGCAUCAAGACCGAUGACCCUCGUCUCUACCUUUUCGAGGGUGUUGGAUACAUUGUUGAUCCACUGCCGAACAACCCUUGGGUGGACGGUGAUGGUGGCAACUAUGCGCAUCGAGCCUUCGACGAGGACAUGUUCGACGCUAAAAACCUGCAUCUCGAUCUCUUUCGCCAUUUGGAACCACUGGAACGGAGGGCUAUGGUUUGGAGAAUUAGGAUUAGAUGUCUAGUCUAACUAAAGUAGUAGAUGAUUAUUUAAAGAGGUUAAAACAAUGUGAAUGUAGUGGGGUUUGGAUGCAAGUGAAGACGAAGGGGAGGUGAAGAAGCCGAGGAGAAUUGGUUCCCGAUGGAGAAGUAAAUGGGAGAAGUGGCAUGCAGGCAGUUGAUUAGACGGCUAGGUAGACUAAACAAAAAGGCUAUGCGGGUAGACUGAUGAGUCGUACCUGUUCGUGUACGUGUCCAUCCUUCCUGAUAGGUGGAACCUAUGCAAACAGAUAAAAAAUGUGUCCUAGCUUUUUUUUGAGCGCGUGAGUGGGAGACACAACAUUCUCUGGUUAAGGAAUACUCCCUCCGUUUAGGUGAGUAUAAGUCACCUUAUGAAAAUCAGGUUUUCCCAAAACCUUUAGGCGUGGAGCAUUAACUUCCUGCUCGAUCCCCUCCCAGCCUCAUUAGCCAGCGUUCUCUUCCUCUGCUGUCGCGUUCUACCUUUCCAUUUUUCCUCUUGUCAAGUGUGGAACGAUCUGCAUGCCGUCCUUGAUGCACCAGAAUGACCACUGCAUGCAUCGCGGCAGGGCAUUGAUUGGGUAUGCACGAGAAUUUGGUUCUGCUUGCAAUAUGGAUGAUACCUGAACGAUGAAGUGAACAGGCAUGCUAGCACGGGAAACCUAUUUCGGCUAUACAAUACUGGAGUACUCAUGUUCCUACUAGUAGUAGUAGUAGUAGUACAACUGUGAUACACAUGAUGGUCAAAAUACUAUUCAUCCGAUCCUCACAGUGAAGUGACAACACCCUGCGCCUGACACUAGUCCAGGCGGCGUGUUCGGGUUACCAAAGCCAGCCUCACCCUAUGCACUGUGCAGUAUGUCACCGCCGUUGUACAUCACAUUGGCGCCUCGCCUCGUCUCCCUCUCCGCUCCCAUAGCACCACUCCAUAUCCAUCUCCUUCUCCGUCUCCGCCUCCAUCUCACUGUGCCCCAUGUACCGUCGCCUCACUCGCUGAGGGAGUCCUACAUAAGGGGGUAUCCGGACAGCCGUAUUAUAUGUUUUGGCCGGACUGUUGGACUAUGAAGAUACAAGAUUGAAGACUUCGUCCCGUGUCCAGAUGGGACUCUCCUUGGCGUGGAAGGCAAGCUUGGCGAUUCGGAUGUAGAUCUCCUUCUCUAUAAACCGACUCUGUGUAACCCUAGCCCCUCUGGUGUCUAUAUAAACCGGAGGGUUUAGUCCGCAGGACACAACAACAACAAUCAUACCAUAGGCUAGCUUCUAGGGUUUAGCCUCUCUGAUCUUGUGGUAGAUCAACUCUUGUAAUACUCAUAUCGUCAAGAUCAAUCAAGUAGGAAGUAGGGUAUUACCUCCAUCGAGAGGGCCCGAACCUGGGUAAACAUCGUGUCCCCAGUCUCCUGUUACCAUUAGCCUUAGAUGCACAGUUCGGGACCCCCUACCCGAGAUCUGCCGGUUUUGACACCGACAUUGGUGCUUUCAUUGAAAGUUCCUCUGUGUCGUCGCUGUAAGGCUCAAUGGCUUCGCCAACCUUCAACAACUCCGUCCAGGGUGAGACUUUUCUCCCCGGACAGAUUUUUGUGUUCGGCGGCUUCGCACUGCGGGCCAACUCGCUUGGCCAUCUAGAGCAGAUCGACAGCUACGCCCAUGGUCAUCAGGUCUGGUUUGGGAACCUAAACUACACUCCUGAUAUCCAUGGAGACUUGAUCCUCGACGAAUUCGAGCCCAUGUCAGGAGCGCCGAACGAUCACGACGUGCAUGACCUAGAUAUGCCGUCGAACAGUAUUCCGAACAUCACGCCUGCUACAGCUCCAGACUUUGUUCCAGAGCAGGUCGUGCCUUCCAAGGACGGGUGGAUGGACCCCGCCCCGGAGGCCGCACACUCAUCGGCGUUGGAGCCCAACACAGAGUCCUCUCCUAAAGAAAUCAGUAUCUCUGGACCCCCGGACUUGUCUCCGGCCGUGUGUUCCGGACCGCGCGCAUUCGUGCCCAUCGAAUCUAAUUGGGCUCCGGUUAUGGAGUUCACCGCCGCGGAUAUCUUUCAGCACUCACCCUUCGGAGAUGUGCUAAAUUCAUUAAGGUUUCUCUCUCUCUAUCAGGAGAUUCCUGGCCGAACUAUGUUUGGCUUGAGUGGGAAGCAGGUGACGACGAAAUUCGUCACCCACCCACCACCCACUUCAUAGCAACGGUCGAUGACUUGACCGACGUGCUUAACUUCAACUCUGAAGACAUCGACGGUAUAGACGACGAUGCGGGAGAAGAACAGGAACCACCGCCCAUAGGGCACUGGACUGCCACCUCUUCAUAUGAUAUAUACAUGGUGGAUACUCCCAAAGGAAACAAUGGCGAUGAGGCAAUAGGAGAUAACUCCUCGGGGAAGAAAUCAAAGCAUGGGAGUCAUCGGCGCCGCUCCAAGCCCUUCCACACCAAUACCGGCACCGAAGAAGAAAAUAAUCCAGAUGGCGCCAAAGAGGGAUACAAUCCUGAUCAGCCUACCAUCGAGCAGGCCGAACAGAAACACGGACAGGUCAGCCCAGACGAACAGGUGACGGACGAAUACUUGGAGGACAAUAACUAUAUGCCUCCCUCCGAAGACGAGGCAAGCCUCGAUGACGAUGAAUUCAGCGUACCAGAGGAUCCCAUAGAGUAGGAGCGCUUGAAGUGCCGGCUUAUAGCCACUGCAAGAAGACUGAAAAAGAAGCAGCAGCAGCUCCAAGCUCAUCAAGAUCUGCUCGCAGAUAGGCGGACUAAGGCCCGGGCAGCUGAGGAAUACGGACUCGAGCGCCGAACAAAAUACUACUCGAAGCGCAGGCUACUACCUCAAUUCGAGGAGGCGGCACUAAAAACCAAACGCAGGCCUACACCCUGCCGACAGCACACUGCGGCAAGGGGCUACGUGCAAGACCAGCAUUACAUACCAAACAACAACAUAGCAAGCACCCUGGGCACAUCAGCAGCCAAAAAUAGAGUUCGCAAACCUUGGUGCCACAAAUAUAAGUGUCACAAGGCAAAGAAUGACGCCCAGGAAACGACAGUCAACACAGGAGCCCGUAGUCCUCAACCCGUUCAUCGGGAGAAGAGACUUCAAAAUCAUAAUUCGGGCCCCUCCAGCCUGAACCGCAUACUUGACCGCCCAUGUCAAAUUCAUGGUAACCCCGGAGCGGCAGCCAAUCAUACAAAUAGAGAAUGUUGGGUCUUUAAACAGAUCGGCAGGCCGACGCUGGAAAUAGCAUGAAGAGGUCCCAGGGCAAGAAGCCCGGAUUAUCAAGCCUAAGGAUCGAUCACUCGGGGAUCAAAACCACUAAAAAACUCAUUUUGGAGUGUCAUAACUAGGCAUGAAGGCCACUUAGGCCCCGCCACUCUGGAGAUGGUCUUCGGAUCGCCAAAAAUUGCCAUACCAAAGAACUAACUUUCAGCAUUACACCUUUAGGCAGUAGCUAUUCAGCACCACCAGGAUACACUGCGACUCGACGCAUUAUCACCCAAUGCCCAUGACAGUCUUAAAAAACCAGACCCACAUGAUGUAGUCACAAUCGCGGGCAAGACCGAGCUUCACCUCGGCGCCGAAGAGUAUUCGGCCAUUUUAUUAACAGAAGCAACGAGUCACGGUUUUUUUCGAACCUUGAUUCGACAGUCGAACUCCCGGACACCGAUAAAGGAGUCCAAACUACUUCAUCAUAUCCUAGCCCGAUCAUGGCUCAUAUAGAUCCUUCGGCAUAAGCUGGACGGGCCACAUCCCACGGCUCAGCUGCUGCUCACGCAUGCCUUUAGCAUUAUUUGCAGGUUCACCUUUGCGCAUAACGGGCCGGCGACUUGGAAUCAGCUCGGACGCACACAGGGGGAACCUUCACCCCACCCGAAUACAAUUCGGAUAUUACUCCGGACCCACGCACAGCUCCCUACCGCCCGGUCCCAACAGGUUCUGCCGUCAUGCCUCUCUUUUAUAACAUGCACUGUACUCAUACGCAUAGACGUAUUACUUAAAUACAACAUGUAGAGUCAUUUGACACUUAUCUUAUAUUAUUUCUCAAAGAGAUUUUGUCAUAACGGCAUCUGAACAUCGUGUCAUGCCUUAUAACGCCAGGGGCUUCAUUGCACCCACACUAUGGCAACAAAGUCCGACCACCUUCUUGUUGGAGAUCGUUGCAGAAAAUAAAAAAAUUCUACGCAUCACCAAGAUCAAUCUAUGGAGUCAUCUAGCAACGAGAGAGAUAGGAGUGCAUCUACAUACCCUUGUAGAUCGCGAGCGGAAGCUUUCAACAGAACGGGGUUGAUGGAGUUGUACUCGUUAUGAUCCAAAUCACUGAUGAUCCUAGCGCCGAACGGACGGCACCUCCGCGUUCAACACACGUAUAGAGCGAAGACGUCUCACCGCCUUGAUCCAGCAAGGAGGAGGGAGAGGUUGAGGAAGAAAGCUCCAGCAGCAGCACGACGGCGUGGUGGUGAUGGAGAGGCAGCACUCCGGCAGGGCUUCGCCAAGCUUCUGUGGAGGAGGAGAGGUGUUGGGGAGGGCAGGGGCUGCGCCUUGGAGGUGUGUGUGCAGUCCUCCCCUCGCCCCUCUAUUUAUAGGGGGAGGAGGAAGGGGGCCGUCCCCCUCUAGAUGAGAUCUAGAGGGGGGGCGGCGGCCAAGGGGGGGGGGACUUGCCCCCCAAGCAAGGGGGGCGCCCCCUUUAGGGUUUCCCCCCCAACCCUAGGCGCAUGGGCCCAAGGGGGGGUGCGCCCAGCCCUCUAAGGGCUGGUUCCCUUCCCACUAUGGCCCAUGUGGGCCUCCAUGAGAGGUGGCCCCUCCCGGUGGACCCCCGGAACCCUUCUGAUGGCCCCGAUACAAUACCGGUAUGCCCCCGAACUUUUCCGGUGACCGUAUUACAACUUCCCAUAUAUAAAUCUUCACCUCCGGACCAUUCCGGAACUCCUCGUGACAUCCGGGAUCUCAUCCGGGACUCCGAACAACAUUCGGUAAUCACAUACAAGUCUUCCUAAUAACCCUAGCGUCAUCGAACCUUAAGUGUGUAGACCCUACGGGUUCGGGAAUCACGCAGACAUGACCGAGACAGCUCUCCGGUCAAUAACCAACAGCAGGAUCUGGGUACCCAUGUUGGCUCCCACAUGUUCCACGAUGAUCUCAUCGGAUGAACCACGAUGUCGAGGAUUCAAGUAAUCCCGUAUACAAUUCCCUUUGUCAAUCGGUACGUUACUUGCCCAAGAUUCGAUCGUCGGUAUCCCAAUACCUCGUUCAAUCUCGUUACCGGCAAGUCACUUUACUCGGUACGUAAUGCAUGAUCCCGUGACCAACCACUUGGUCACAUUGAGAUCAUUAUGAUGAUGCAUUACCGAGUGGGCCCAGAGAUACCUCUCCGUUGUACGGAGUGACAAAUCCCAGUCUCGAUUCGUGUCAACCCAACAGACACUUUCGGAGAUACCUGUAGUGUACCUUUAUAGUCACCCAGUUACGUUGUGAUGUUUGGUACACCCAAAGCACUCCUACGGUAUCCGGGAGUUACACAAUCUUAUGGUCUAAGAAACUGAUACUUGACAUUAGAAAAGCUUUAGCAAACGAACUACAUGAUCUUGUGCUAUGCUUAGGAUUCGGUCUUGUCCAUCACAUCAUUCUCCUAAUGAUGUGAUCCCAUUAUCAAUGACAUCCAAUGUCCAUAGUCAGGAAACCAUGACUAUCUAUUGAUCAACGAGCUAGUUAACUAGAGGCUCACUAGGGACAUGUUGUGGUCUAUGUAUUCACACAUGUAUCACUAUUUCCGGUUAAUACAAUUAUAGCAUGAAGAAUAGACAAUUAUCAUGAACAAGGAAAUAUAAUAAUAAUCAUUUUAUUAUUGCCUCUAGGGAAUAUUUCCAACAGUCUCCCACUUGCACUAGAGUCAAUAAUCUAGUUACACUUUGAUGAAUCGAACACCCAUAGAGUUCUGGUGUUGAUCAUGUUUUGCUCACGGAAGAGGUUUAGUCAACGGAUCUACGACAUUCAGACCCAUAUGCACUUUGCAAAUAUCUAUGUCUCCAUCUUGAACAUUUUCAUGAAUGGAGUUGAAGCGACGCUUGAUGUGCCUGGUCUUCUUGUGAAACCUGGGCUCCUUGGCAAGGGCAAUAGCUCCAAUGUUGUCAUGGAAGAGAGUGAUCGGCCCCGACGCAUUGAGAAUAACUGCUAGGUCGGUGAUGAACUCCUUCAUCCAGAUUGCUUCAUGCGCUGCCUCUGAGGCUGCCAUGUACUCCGCUUCACAUGUAGAUCCCACCACGACACUCUGCUUGCUGUUGCACCAGCUUACUACCCCACCAUUCAGAAUAUACACGUAUCCAGUUUGUGACUUAGAGUCAUCCAGAUCUGUGUCGAAGCUAGCAUCGACGUAACCCUUUACGACGAGCUCUUCGUCACCUCCAUAAACGAGGAACAUAUCCUUAGUCCUUUUCAGGUACUUCAGGAUAUUCUUGACCGCUGUCUAGUGUUCCAUGCCGGGAUUACUUUGGUGUCUUGCAACCAAACUUACGGCAAGGUUUACAUCAGGUCUGGUACACAGCAUGGCAUACAUAAUAGACCCUAUGGCCGAGGCAUAGGGGAUGACACUCAUCUUUUCUUUAUCUUCUGCCGUGGUCGGGGAUUGAGCCGAGCUCAAUUUCACACCCUGUAAUAUAGGUAAGACCCCCUUCUUGGACUGAUCCAUAUUGAACUUCUUCAAUAUCUUAUCAAGGUAUGUGCUUUGUGAAAGACCUAUGAGGCGUCUCGAUCUAUCUCUAUAGAUCUUGAUGCCUAAUAUAUAAGCAGCUUCUCCAAGGUCCUUCAUUGAAAAACACUUAUUCAAGUAGGCCUGUAUGUUGUCCAAAAGUUCUAUAUCAUUUCCCAUCAAAAGUAUGUCAUCUACAUAUAAUAUGAGAAAUGCUACUUAGCUCCCACUCACUUUCUUGUAAACGCACGCUUCUCCAUAAGUCUGCAUAAACCCAAACGCUUUGAUCAUCUCAUCAAAGCGAAUGUUCCAACUCCGAGAUGCUUGUACCAGCCCAUAAAUGGAUCGCUGGAGCUUGCAUACCUUGUUAGCAUUCUUAGGAUCAACAAAACCUUCCUGCUGCAUCGUAUACAGUUCUUCCUUAAGAUAGCCGUUAAGGAAUGCCGUUUUGACGUCCUUUUGCCAUAUCAUAAUCAUAGUAUGCGGCAAUUGCUAACAUGAUUCGGACGGACUUCAGCUUCGCUACGGGAGAGAAAGUCUCAUCAUAGUCAACCCCUUGAACUUGUCGAUAACCCUUAGCGACAGCUUUAUAGAUGGUAACAUUACCAUCCGCGUCCAUCUUAUUCUUAAAGAUCCAUUUAUUUUCUAUCGCUCGCCGAUCAUCGGGAAAGUCUGUCAAAGUCCAUACUUUGUUUUCAUACAUGGAUCCUAUCUCGGAUUUCAUGGCUUCAAGCCAUUUGUUGAGAUCUGGGCCCGCCAUCGCUUCUUCAUAGUUCGAAGGUUCACCGUUGUUUAACAACAUGAUUUCCAGGACAGGGUUGCCAUACCACUCUGGUGUGGAACGUGUCCUUGUGGACCUACGAAGUUCAGUAGUAACUUGAUCCAAAGUACCUUGAUCAUCAUCAUUAAUUUUCUCUCUAGUCGGUGUAGGCACCACAGGAACAUCUUCCUGAGCUGCGCUACUUACCGGUUCAAGAGGUAGUACUUCAUCAAGUUCCACUUUUCUCCCACUUACUUCUUUCGAGAGAAACUCUUUCUCCGGAAAGGACCCGUUCUUGGCAACAAAGAUCUUGCCUUCGGAUCUCCGGUAGAAGGUAUACCCAAUGGUUUCCUUACGGUAUCCUAUGAAGACGCAUUUUUCCGACUUGGGUUCGAGCUUUUCAGGUUGAAGUUUCUUGACAUAAGCAUCGCAUCCCCAAACUUUUAGAAACAGAAGCUUAGGUUUCUUUCCAAACCAUAAUUCAUACGGUGUCGUCUCAACGGAUUUAGACGGUGCCCUAUUUAAAGUGAAUGUAGCUGUCUCUAAAGUGUAUCCCCAAAAUGAUAGCGGUAAAUUGGUAAGGGACAUCAUAGACCGCACCAUAUCCAAUAGAGUGCGAUUACGACAUUCGGACACACCGUUACGCUGAGGUGUUCCAGGCGGCGUGAGUUGUGAAACAAUUCCACAUUUCCUCAAGUGCGUACCAAACUCGUGACUUAAAUAUUCUCCCCCACGAUCUGAUCAUAAGAACUUUAUUUUUCUGUCAAGUUGAUUCUCAACCUCAUUCUAAAAUUCAUUGAACUUUUCAAAGGUCUCAGACUUGUGUUUCAUCAAGUAGACAUACCCAUAUCUACUUAAGUCUUCAGUGAGGGUGAGAACAUAACGAUAGCCACCGCGAGCCUCAACACUCAUCGGACCGCACACAUCAGUAUGUAUAAUUUGCAACAAGUUGGUUGCUCGCUCCAUUGUUCCGGAGAACGGAGUCUUGGUCAUUUCGCCCAUGAGGCAUGGUUCGCACGUGUCAAAUGAUUCGAAAUCAAGAGACUCCAAAAGUCCAUCUGUAUGGAGCUUCUUCAUACGUUUGACACCAAUGUGACCAAGGCGGCAGUGCCACAGAUAUGUGGGACUAUCAUUAUGAAUCUUACAUCUUUUGGUAUUCACACUAUGAAUAUGUGUAACAUCACGUUCGAGAUUCAUUAAGAAUAAACCAUUGACUAGCGGGGCAUGACCAUAAAACAUAUCUCUCAUAUAAAUAGAACAACCAUUAUUCUUGGAUUUAAAUGAGUAGCCAUCUCGUAUUAAACGAGAUCCAGAUACAAUGUUCAUGCUCAAAGCUGGCACUAAAUAACAAUUAUUGAGGUUUAAAACUAAUCCCAUAGGUAAAUGUAGAGGUAGCAUGCCGAUGGUGAUCACAUCGACCUUAGAACCAUUCCCGGCGCGCAUCGUCACCUCGUCCUUCGCCAGUCUCCGCUUAUUCCGCAGCUCCUAUUUUGAGUUACAAAUAUGAGCAACCGCACCGGUAUCAAAUACCCAGGAGCUACUACGAGUACUGGUAAGGUACACAUCAAUAACAUGUAUAUCACAUAUACCUUUGGUGUUGUCGGCCUUCUUAUCCGCUAAGUACUUGGGGCAGUUCCGCUUCUAGUGACCGUUCCCUUUGCAAUAAAAGCACUCAGUCUCAGGUUUGGGUCCGUGCUUUGGCUUCUUCCCGGCAACUGGUUCACCGGGUGCGGAAACUCCCUUGCCGUUCUUCUUGAAGUUCUUCUUACCCUUGCCUUUCUUGAAACUAGUGGUUUUUUAACCAUCAACACUUGAUGUUCCUUUUUGAUUUCUACCUUUGCUGAUUUCAGCAUUGAAAAUACCUCAGGAAUCCCCUGCAUAUUUUAGUUCAUCACAAAGCUCUUGUAGCUAGGUGGGAGCGACUGAAGGAUUCUGGCAAUGACCGCCUCAUCCGGGAGGUUAAUGUCCAGCUGGGACAAGCGGUUGUGCAACCCAGACAUUUUGAGUAUGUGCUCGCUGACAGAACUAUUUUCCUCCAUCUUACAACUGUAGAAUUUGUCAGAGACUUCAUAUCUCUCGACCCGGGCAUGAGCUUGGAAAACCAUUUUCAGCUCUUGGAGCAUCUCAUAUGCUCUGUGCUGCUCAAAACACUUUUGGAGCCUCGGUUAUAAGCUGUAAAGCAUGCCGCACUGAACGAGGGAGUAAUCAUCAACACGCGACUGCCAAGCAUUCAUAACGUCUUGGUUCGCUGGGACGGGUGCUUCACCUAGCGGUGCUUCUAGGACAUAUGCUUUCUUGGCAGCUAUGAGGAUGAUCCUUAGGUUCCGGACCCAGUCCGUCUAGUUGUUGCCAUCAUCUUUCAGCUUGGUUUUCUCUAGGAACGGGUUGAAGUUGAGGUUGACAUGAGCGUGGGCCAUUUGAUCUACAAGACAUUUUGCAAAAGUUUUUAGACUAAGUUCAUGAUAAUUAAGUUCAUCUAAUCAAAUUGUUUAAUGAACUCCCACUCAGAUAGACAUCCCUCUAGUCAUCUAAGUGACACAUGAUCUGAGUCAACUAGGCCGUGUCCGAUCAUCACGUGAGGCGGACUAGUCAUCAUCGGUGAACAUCUCCAUGUUGAUCGUAUCUUCUAUAUGACUCAUGCUCGACCUUUCGGUCUCUUGUGUUCCGAGGCCAUGUCUGUACAUGCUAGGCUCGUCAUGUCAACCUAAGUGUUUUGCAUGUGUAAAUCUGGCUUACACCCGUUGUAUGUGAACGUUAGGAUCUAUCACACCCGAUCAUCACAUGGUGCUUAGAAACAACGAACUUUCGCAAUGGCGCACAGUUAGGGGGAACACUUUCUUGAAAUUGUUAUGAGGGAUCAUCUUAUUUACUACCAUCGUUCUAAGCAAAUAAGAUGCAAAAACAUGAUAAACAUCACAUGCAAUCAAAUAGUGACAUGAUAUGGCCAAUAUCAUUUUGCUCCUUUGAUCUCCAUCUUCGGGGCGCCAUGAUCAUCAUCGUCACCGGCAUGACACCAUGAUCUCCAUCAUCAUGAUCUCCAUCAUCGUGUAUCCAUGAAGUUGUCUCGCCAACUAUUACUUCUACUACUAUGGCUAACGGUUUAGCAAAGAAGUAAACUAAUUACAUGGCGUUAUUCAGUGACACGCAGGUCAUACAAUAAAUAAAGACAACUCCUAUGGUUCCUGCCGGUUGUCAUACUCAUCGACAUGCAAGUCGUGAUUCCUAUUACGAGAACAUGAUCAAUCUCAUACAUCACAUAUAUUUCAUUCAUCACAUCCUUUUGGCCAUAUCACAUCACAAGGCAUAUGCUGCAAAGACAAGUUAGACGUCCUCUAAUUGUUGUUGCAAGUUUUUUACGUGGCUGCUAUAGGGUUCUAGCUUCUAGCAAGAACGUUUCUUACCUAUGCCAGAACCACAACGUGAUAUGCCAAUUUCUAUUUACCCUUCAUAAGGACCCUUUUCAUCGAAUCCGAUCCGACUAAAGUGGGAGAGACAGACACCCGCUAGCCACCUUAUGCAACUAGUGCAUGUCAGUCGGUGGAACCUGUCUCACGUAAGCGUACGUGUAAGGUCGGUCCGGGCCGCUUCAUCCCACGAUGCUGCCGAAACAAGAUAAGACUAGUAGUGGCAGGUAAAUUGACAAAAUCUACUCCCACAACAAAAUUGUGUUCUAUUCGUGCAUAGAAACUAUGCAUAGACCUAGCUCAUGAUGCCACUGUUGGAGAUCGUUGCAGAAAAUAAAAAAAUUCUACACAUCACCAAGAUCAAUCUAUGGAGUCAUCUAGCAACGAGAGAGAUAGGAGUGCAUCUACAUACCCUUGUAUAUCGCGAGCGGAAGCGUUCAAGAGAACGGGGUUGAUGGAGUCGUACUCGUCCUGAUCCAAAUCACCGAUGAUCCUAGCGCCGAACGGACGGCACCUCCGCGUUCAACACAUGUAUGGAGUGGAGACGUCUCCCUCGCCUUGAUCCAGCAAGGAGGAGGGAGAGGUUGAGGAAGAAAGCUCCAGCAGCAGCACGACGGCGUGGUGGUGAUGGAGAGGCAGCACUCCGGCAGGGCUUCGCCAAGCUUCUGUGGAGGAGGAGAGGUGUUGGGGAGGGGAGGGGCUGCGCCUUGGAGGUGUGUGUGCAGCCCUCCCCUCGCCCCUCUAUUUAUAGGGGGAGGAGGAAGGGGGCCAUCCCCCUCUAGAUGAGAUCUAGAGGGGGGGUGGCGGCCAAGGGAGGGGGGUGGCGACCAAGGGGGGGGGACUUGCCCCCCAAGCAAGGGGGGCGCCCCCUUUAGGGUCCCCCCCCAAGCCUAGGCGCAUGGGCCCAAGCAGGGUGCCCAGCCCUCUAAGGGCUGGUUCCCUUCCCACUACGGCCCAUGUGGCCCUCCGAGAGAGGUGGCCCCUCCCGGUGGACCCCCGGAACCCUUCCCGUGGCCCCGGUACAAUACUGGUAUGCCCCCGAACUUUUCCGAUGACCGUAUUACAACUUCCCAUAUAUAAAUCUUCACCUCCGGACCAUUCCGGAACUCCUCGUGACGUCCGGGAUAUCAUCCGGGACUCCGAACAACAUUCAGUAAUCACAUGCAAGUCUUCCUAAUAACCCUAGCGUCAUCGAACCUUAAGUGUGUAGACCCUACAGGUUCGGGAAUCAUGCAGACAUGACCGAGACAGCUCUCUGGUCAAUAACCAAUAGCGGGAUCUGGAUACCCAUGUUGGCCCCCACAUGUUCCACGAUGAGCUCAUCGGAUGAACCAUGAUGUCGAGGAUUCAAGUAAUCCCGUAUACAAUUCCCUUUGUCAAUCGGUACGUUACUUGCCCGAGAUUCGAUCGUCGGUAUCCCAAUACCUCGUUCAAUCUCGUUACCGGCAAGUCACUUUACUCACUACAUAAUGCAUGAUCUCGUGACCAACCACUUGGUCACAUUGAGCUCAUUAUGAUGAUGCAUUACCGAGUGGGCCCAGAGAUACCUCUCCAUCGUACGGAGCGACAAAUCCCAGUCUCGAUUCGUGUCAACCCAACAGACACUUUCGGAGAUACCUGUAGUGUACCUUUAUAGUCACCCAGUUACGUUGUAACGUUUGGUACACCCAAAGCACUCCAACGGUAUCCGGGAGUUACACAAUCUCAUGGUCUAAGAAACUGAUACUUGACAUUAGAAAAGCUUUAGCAAACGAACUACACGGUCUUGUGCUAUGCUUAGGAUUGGGUCUUGUCCAUGACAUGAUUCUCCUAAUGAUGUGAUCCCGUUAUCAAUGACAUCCAAUGUCCAUAGUCAGAAAACCAUGACUAUCUGUUGAUCAACGAGCUAGUUAACUAGAGGCUCACUAGGGACAUGUUGUGGUCUAUGUAUUCACACAUGUAUCACUGUUUCCGGUUAAUACAAUUAUAGCAUGAACAAUAGACAAUUAUCAUGAACAAGGAAAUAUAAUAAUAAUCAUUUUAUUAUUGCCUCUAGGGCAUAUUUCCAACACUUCUCGGUCGUUCGGCACCCCGAACUUAUAGCAUUAUAUGCAUCAGCUCUGAAUCAUGUCUUGGGUCAUUGGUUGGGUUUGCCCGGCUCCCAUGUUUUGGUACCUUACGUUCCGCAAUAUCGGCUAAGGUAGCGUUGGGAGAACUGCUGCGAUUGUGUCCCGGUUCUUCCGGAUGAACACCUUAGCAGAGAAAGCCGAAAACUGACUGUCAUGACAAGGCGAGAGGUGGUCAGCUGUUCGAGAGGUUGUAAAAUCUUUAAAGAUUUAUUCCGCAUAAUGCCAUAAUAAAAUGCAGAGUGCGAAGGAUCGAUCUACCGAUCAGGCGCUCUUAGAGCCCCUCGUGCGGUCUUCCGAACACCAGGGGCUGUGCCUCCCAUACUCGAAUUCCUAUGGCUAAGUGAGAGUAAUAAAGCGUUAUAGUCUAAUUGCCUGGUUCGCUGUGCUGAACACCUCCUUCAUGGACCCAAGAAUGGGAUAAAGAGUGUUCAGGUGUAUCCCGAGAACCCCCAUAGUUCCUACGUGGGGGAAGAAGCCGACAAGUGGCCAAUUCUCAAGACUAACAUAUAAAACGGCCGCGCAGGAAUAAAAUUUACACAUAAUAGGCACAUACAUAAAAGUGACUUUGUUCCACCUUACAAAGGACAGUACAACUGCCUUUAGGGAAAAAUAAUGUCUUUGGCACACUGCUCUGCCACAAGGCGGACCCCUUUCAGGACACCAUCAUAAUAUAAUUCGGGCUUGUGGUGCUCCUUCCCCUCCGGCGGCCCCUCGGUCAUCAGCUUCUCAACAUCAAGCUUCCUCGAGUGCACUUUCGCACGGGCAAAUGCCAUUCGUGCACCUUCUAUACAAACCGACUGCUUAAUGACGUCCAGCCGAGGGCAAGCACUCACAAUUCGCUUCACGAGCCCAAAGAAACUGCUCGGAAUGGGCUCGGUGGGCCAUAGCCGGAUAACCAAAUCCUUCAUGGCUAGUUCGGCCGCCUGAUGCAGUUCGAUCAGCUGCUUCAGCUGGUCAGCAAACGGCACCGGAUAAUUCGGCACCAAAUACUGCGACCAGAAGAGCUUCUCGGUAGUUUCCUUCUCCUCAGCUCGGCAGAAUUGGGCAGCAUCAGAUAUGCUGCGUGGCAGAUCUGCACACGCCCCUGGAAAAAUCAAGAUUUAGUGGGUCACCAUGAAUCUUUCCUGCGAUGGCAUAAAACGCUUUGAAUAAGAAAAACCCUUACCAGCAGCAAUAAUCCGCACCUCCUGAAUAUCCUUCAGAGCAGCCUGGGCUUCCUCCUGAGCAUCAUUUGUGGUCUGGAGAGCUUGGGCGAGUUUGGAUUCUUUCAGUAAUAGACUCUGCUCCAAAGUCUCGCUUUUCUUCACGGCCUCCUGAGGCUCUCGUUCGGCUUCCACGACCCUGGCCUCGGGCUUCUCGCAGAGGGCUAGCUCCGCGGCUACCUUCUUUUCAGCCAAGGCAACAGCCUUCUUGAGCGCCUCAAUUUCAGCAUUUGCUCCUGGAGUGCGCGAUAUAUAUGCUUUAAGUUAGACACAACUCCUUACUUGUGCUAAAAGCUUACUAAAUUUUCAAACAUACCUUGUUUAUCCCCCAGUUGCUUCUUCACUCGGCCGAGUUCCUCUUCGGCCCGCUCCAGACUCUGUUUGAGUCCGGACACCUCUGCAGUAUGAGAGGAGGCAGUCGCUGCAUACGCGUAAUUCAUAAAGCAAUAGAUCUAUGUCAUUAGCUGAGUCUCCUACGGACAGAAUUUGGUCCCCUGUCUGAUUCCUGUCCUCUCUGAACAGUGUAUCAGGGGCUACUAUCUAUGCUAUGACAAUCUUCUAACAACUCCUAAAACAUACCUCCAAGCCUUUUAUAAGGCUGAUGCAGGAUUCAUUCAGUCUGCUCUCGGCGGCCUAAAUCUUUUCUAUCAUCGCGCCCAUAAGGGCGUGAUGUUCAUCAAUGAUGGAAGCGCUCUCCAGCGCUGUCGAUAGGCUGCCCUGCACCUUUGGUUGGACGGAGGUUGCAGGUGGAGCAGGAUCGCUCCAUCCCGUCAAGAGGGGCUGCCUGCCUGAUCCCGGAGCCUUAAGGGUCUCCGGGACUGUGUCCAGCUGUGGGCCGAAUCCAAGAUCGCCCCCGCCGUCGAUGAUCAUGGGAACCGCCGCUCCCACGUGUCCGGCCCCCGAGGUACGCCCCCCCGGCUCAGGUCCCUUUGGGACGAUACCUCGGUGUCACAGCCAGGCUUUGGGGAAGGGGCCCUGGGAGGUGUCUCGCUCUCCAAGGCGUCAGAACUCAACGAAUCCUCUGGUGAGGACUGUUUGGCAAGAGACCUCGCCGUACUGUAAAAAGUACGGUGCAAACCAAAAUACUACAUUCCAGUAAUUCUGGAUGCAUGAAUAUGUUCGAAUUUCAUGCACUUAUGAGUUUAUCAGGGGCUGGGCCCUGGGAUCCCACUCCGGGCUGCUAUCGGUAGCCAUGGUGGACGCCUCGGGGAUGGAUGUUCUUACCCUCUUAGGCGAAUCUGCCUCUAAGGAUGAGGAGGCUGUCCUUUUCUUCCUCCCCCUCGUAGGGGACUCGAGCUCUUCUUCCUCCUCGUCCUCUUCCUCCUCCUCGUCCUCUUCCUCCUCCUCGUCCUCUUCGGAGGAGGGAUGGUCACUAGAGUCUUCGGACUUCGUGUCUGAGGCACCGCGACGACGGAGACCGCUCCUGGUCUCCUUGGCCUUUUUGUUGGCCUCUUUCUUCGGCGCCUCGUAAGGCGCCGGGACCAGCAUCUUCGUCAGAAGUGGUCCGACUGCCUCUUCCGACAACAGGGCCGGACAAUGAAUCCGCCCUGCCUUCUCCGUCCAUCCCUGAGAUAAUCAUGGAAAAGCACCUUAAAAAGAACAUCUCUCCCGGGACAUACCAAUGAAACAUGCGGAUGGCCGAGACAUAAUAAUGACUUAUCGGACUUGCGGGGUGGGACAGUUGGUACCCAUGGUCCGCGGCGGAGUCCGGCCAUGGUUUGCCGGACUUGAAGAGCACUUUCCAGAUGUCCUUGUGCGAGGAGCCGAAAAGCUCCCACAGGGUCUGGUGCUCGCCCGGGUCAUACUCCCACAAAUUGCAGCUUCUGUGCUGAGACGGAAGGAUCAGGCAUACCAGCAUCACCUAGACUACGUCAACAAGCUUGAUGGCCCUGUCCUCCAUACCUUUGAUGCGCACCUGGAUCACUGACAGUUCGUCGGACGACGACCAGUUCACGCCCUUCUUGGGCCAGGACGUGAGCCGCAAAGGGGCUCUAGAUCAAAACUCAGGAGCAGCGGCCCACUUUUUGCCACGCGGCUCAGUGAUGUAGAACCACUGCUGGUGCCACUCCUUGAUAGAGUCGUUAAAAGUACCCGUCAGCCAUGUGACCUUGGGCAUUCUGCUCACCAUGGCGCCUCCGCACUCAGCAUGUUCGCAGUUCACCACCUUGGGCUUCACAUUGAAGAUCUUCAGCCAUAGCCCGAAGUGUGGCGUGAUGCGGAGAAAGGCCUCGCACACGACGAUAAACGUCGAGAUAUUGAGGAAGGAAUUGGGGGAUAGAUCGUGAAAAUCAAUCCCGUAGUAAUACAUGAUACCGCGAACAAAAGGGUGAAGGGGAAACCCAAGCCCGUGGACGAAAUGGGGGAGGAAAAUGACCCUCUCAUGCGGCUCCGGAGUAGGGACAAUCUAUCCUGCCGUUGGAAGACGGUGGCUGAUUUUCUUGGCCAGAUACCCGUCCGCCCGCAGCUUUUUAAUAUCCUUCUCCUGGAUGGAGGAGGCCAUCCACUUGCCUCCUACUCCAGAUCCGGACAUUUUCGGAGAACCUUUGUUGGUGGGGAAGUGAAUGCUUGGGUGCUAGGGCUCGGGCGAAAGGAAAGGGGCGAGCAGAAGGAGAAUAAGGCGUGGGUAGAAAGGAAGAGGCAUUUCCCCUUUAUAGAGGCGAUGAAACUUUAUGCCUCCCCGCUUGCCUAAUGGAACCUGCUCAUUCCCCACUCACCAUAAUUGGUGGCACGGUUGGGUUACCCACACCUGUAUUGAAGAGAACCCCGCGAUAAGGGGGCACGAUCUCUGCUUUGACAAGACGUGCCAAAGAAACCACCUCGCGAUGUGUGCGGGAGCUGGAUGUGAAAAGCGGUUCGAAUAAUGACCGGACCAUGGUGUGUUGUCGUGCUACAAAGGACUAUCAGCAGAUUAGAUUCGUGGAUUAUUGUUCUUUCUACGGCGGUAUGUGAAGAGCCGGACAUGGUCCUUGUGUUCGGAAUUUAUCUUGGAGUAUUCAGAGAUGGAACCCGCCUCGCAAUGCCGAAGACAAUCUAUGCACCGGACUUAUCAUCAUUGGAGCCUGGUUCAGAGACUACUGACGGAGUCCUGGAUAAGGGGGUAUCUGGACAGCCGGACUAUAUGCUUUGGCCGGACUAUUGGACUAUGAAGAUACAAGAUUGAAGACUUCGUCCCAUGUCCAGAUGGGACUCUCCUUGGCGUGGAAGGCAAGCUUGGCGAUUCGGAUGUAGAUCUCCUUCUCUGUAAACUGACUCUGUGUAACCCUAGCCCCCUCUGGUGUCUAUAUAAACCGGAGGGUUUAGUCUGCAGGACACAACAACAACAAUCAUACCAUAGGCUAGCUUCUAGGGUUUAGCCUCUCUGAUCUCAUGGUAGAUCAACUCUUGUAAUACUCAUAUCAUCAAGAUCAAUCAAGCAGGAAGUAGGGUAUUACCUCCAUCGAGAGGGCCCGAACCUGGGUAAACAUCGUGUCCCCAGUCUCCUGUUACCAUUAGCCUUAGACGCACAGUUCAGGACCCCCUACCUGAGAUCCGUCGGUUUUGACACCGACACUCGCCUCCCCCAAUACCACUAUUCCCUCGCUAGCUGCUCCAGCACCGACAGCCUUCUCCCCCAUAAAUCAAGCCCCCCAAAACCCCCACCUUACAAAUUCCACCAUGGUCGAACGCGAACCGCGCAGCAUCCAUAUGAGCCGCGAUUGGAGCAAUCUCCCAAGUGACAUCCUCGACCUCUGUUGUUCGUGUAUGGAUAUGUUGAGUGCCCUGCGGCUGGUUGCAUGCUCGAGGAACAUGCACACGGCCAUCGUCGAAGCGAGGCCUAAGCUUUUCAAGACACCCUGCUUUCUACUAUCUGGUCUUGCGAGAUUGUCUCACCUUGAUAUGAAGGCGUACAUGAUGCCCCUUGACUUCAAUCCGAUCUCCAUUAGCCGAAACUUCUUUGUAGGUAUGUAGUGGGUCACCGUACAUCAUUUCCCUCGACAUCGAUCCGAUCACCAUCGCUCGAAACUUCUUGGCAGGUAUGUACUGGGUCAGCAUGAACUCCCACUGGAUGGCUGCCUUCAGAGAAGAUGGUAAAAAGUUGGUGCUCGUGAACUUCCAGACCUCCCAUCAGAUUAUCCUUCCUCCGUUGGAUUAUAUAGAGUAUUACCAUCGUGGUCCAAGUCAUCUAGAUUACCACGUCAGUUGGACGGACCUUGUUUUACAGAAGAUUGUAAUCUGCCAAGUGCCCACACGACAUGCGAAUUAUGCAGAGUUCAAGCUAAUUGCCUUGUUCGACCGCGGACUCGCCUAUCUUUACGCCGGUGCCUUCUUUAGCUGGAGAGAACCCAACUCGCAGUGGAUCAUCGUCAAAACUGAUACACACUUCUGUGAUGCUAUUGAACACAAUGGCAUCAUCUACGCGAUCGACAAAGCAGAUGGCACCACGUAUUGCUGGGACGGUGCAUGUAAGUUGUUUCUGUCUCAUGUUAAUGAUGACACCAUGACACUGUUUGAACUUUUUGUGAUGAUUGGCAUAUCCCUGUUUGAGCAGAAUUUGAGUAAACUAUGGCAAUGUAUUAGAGACACCGUAAAUCAGCUAUAUUUGGAAUGAGUUAAUUCAUGCGAUUGUGACCAUGUCAUUACAACCAUUUUGUACCCUAAAUAAUCAAACGGUUAGGAAUAUAUGGAUAUUAUCCUUAUUUUACAGUAAUCUAUAUACUACUACUAAAUAUGAGUGUGUAUCAAUGGCCAUGUUAGUUUCCUCAUUUUCAUGAUGUAGAAACAUGCACCACACUGUUGGUUUCAUUUAACCAUACAUUAGGGAAGUAAAUGCGCAUAUGGAGAACUCUAUAUUUGGAAGUAGUGAAAUCCUACAAUGCUUACCAUGUGUACAUGCCUAUAUUCGCCCUUCAGCAAUCAAUGGGUAGAAUAAUAUCCUCACAAUUUUUUUGCCCACAGAACACGAGUAUAUAAUAAUGCAUGGACUGUUAGUUACCUUGAAGAAUUUGUUUGUGAGGACAGAACAUGAUUACAUAACAUGCAUGACAUGGUAGUUUCCUGUGAAGAAUCAAUUGCGAGAUAACAUGAGUAUAACCAUGCAUGGCACUUCUAUAUUUUCGAACCCAGUAUACAUUUCCCUGUAUUUUCCUCCCUGUUCCAACAGGGACAUAUCAAUGAUGUUUCUUGCAUUAUCCUACUCAUACUCUGAACAAUGUUGAUCUUACAUUAACAAUGCCUGUCCUUUUUGAUAUGAUGCAGUGUCCCUACAGUUACUGCCCUUUGUAAUCACACCACCUUUGCCAAAAACAGGGAAGCACAACUGGUUCCUCUCUCGAUCAGAGGACGGCAAAAGACUGAUGAUCAUUCGGACACAUGAGCCGGAAAAGUUAUAUUGCAAAAACCCCACUGUAUACAAGCACCAUGUAAUACGUGAGUAUCCGGACAGUGGCGGUUACAUCUAUGAGCAGGAUACCAGCUUGUUGGGGCCUUUAGGAUUUUUUAAUUGGAGGCGAGUAAAUAGCCUUGGUUCACACUCUCUGUUUCUCGGACUCAGUUAUCCGAUUAACUAGGAGAUCACCGUUGGCAAGGACCUUGAUGGCAGAGACGCUCUGUUUGCUUUGGAAAACUGUGUCUACACGGCGAGUCGUAGGAGUUCGGGAGAAAACUCCCCUGAUUGUCAAUGAUACAGCCUGCAGCCAAAAGAAGGUGAGAAUGACAAAGGCAUCCGGAUUAACUUUGAUCCUUGGAUGUCUUAAUUACGACAGGCAGUGAUGUGGUUCAAGCCUUCAGGUUGAUAGGUAAUUGGGCUGUUGCAUUGAAAGGGUGGAGUACUAGUGUCUCCGGAUCACUGGUCGCUGAAGCGGGGCUGCAAAUUAUGAUGGUGUUGGAUCAUCUCUUUGAAUGACUUUGCUGUCUUUGCUACUGGUUCUGGAUGGGUAGUUCUUUCUUUUGUUAUGCAUAUUCCUUGUCAUUUGGUCAUCCUCGUCUAUGUCACUCUUACUAUGUAAUAGUUGCUUCUGUUUAGAAUGUCAUUCUCAUCUGGAUAACGAGAGUCUAAGCGUUGCAGAUGGGUGCGUUUUGGUGGUGUAGCAAGACUUCUUAUGAACUAUCAUGUCUUGUUGUUUAUGUCAGUAGUAGUCACUAGUCAGUGUUUGAAUGUUGUAUAUAUUGUUGUUUCGAACUGUUUAUUUUCUCGAACUACUGGUGGGCUAAAUGAGGGCAUCACCAUUCUCUAGUGUUCAGAGUAUAUCUCCUUUUUUCAAGUUAUAUAAUUUGAUCUCGGUGUCUUUUCGAUGAUGUACACUUGUUUGGGCCAGUGAGGUGUCGUUGAAUAUGGGCCGAGUAGUAACGCAAUGCCAAACAGGUCAAUUAUGACUGUCAGGCCGGGCUCUCAAAAGAUCCUGGAAAAAAAGGCCAGGCUCUCCAAAAAAGAAAGAAUAAGGACUCUUAGGCCGACAUGUGGGCGCCACCGGUGUUUUUGUGCGCUUGCGUGCCGAGAUCAUAUUGGUGCGUGCUCGAAAUUCAUGCUACCUUUUCAUCCCUAGUCUCCCGCCCCUCCCCCACCUCUGGAAUCUCAAUUCCUACUCCAGUUCCCCCAAAUCCCCCUCCUGUACUCCCUGUACUCAAGCGCACUAUCAUGUCGCCGGUCAACGCGUAUCUCCGAGCCGGAGAUCCUGAGGUCCGUCCUGCCUUCGGUCGCUGCGUGCUGUCGCUCAACAGUGGCAUGGCGGCGCUUGACGACCAGUUUGCCGGCAAAGUGCUGAUGGUAACCAUCAACAGCGACCGGCCUCCCGUCUCGUCGGACGACCUUGUCAAAGCUCUUGGCAUUGCGCACGACAUCCAAAUAAGUGACUUGCUCGUCGAAGUCUGUCCGCCACCGGCUGAUUUCUUCAUUAGGUUCCGGACAACUUUCGACUGCAGUCAUGUGUUCGAAUCUUCCCGGCAUUUGUUCUGUGAUGGCGCGCUAGUGAGCUUUGAUCGGUGGCACCCAUGAUGGGGCUCGGUGCCCUCUAAGCUUGAGUUUUUAACAAAGCUUACCUUCCACGGCAUGCCUCGACGUGCUUGGAACAGCGAGUCCAUGAACGAGCUUAUCAACGACCUUGGAGGUGAGCUCGUAAGUAUGUUUGUUCCUCCAGACAGCUGGGCUCUGACGGUUAUGGCAUGGAUGAAGAAGUCGUCCACCAUACUUAAGGUGAUUGGUGUUGAGAUACCGGUGCAAGAACCGGGGUUGUACUAUUCGUCGCCACCAAGGCCGCCGCGGACCAUGUUAGGGAUGUACGUGUAACGAGUGUUCGUGCAUGUCGAAGAAGUGGUCAAUCCAUUAAUCGAAGUCCUGCUGCCGCCGCUGGUGCCAGGGUCCGUCGACGACGUCCAUUACAGGAGUCAACAUCAGACUUUCCCCGUGUUGCUCGGAAUGAUGGAUGGCACAGGGCCUACUCCAUCACGUGGCGGAGGCCACUACUUCUUUGGGAGAAGAGGCAAGGCUGGCUACCUGGAUGUGCUCUAAUUUGAGGUAACAACUGAAUCUUGUCAGAUACUAGUUAAAUCCGAGCUAUGGGUGUGAAGCACUGAUAUGCUAGUACAUUUGAUUGUGACCUGUUCUAAUUUUGUACCUAAACUUUUUUGGAAAGGGUUGUACGUUAACUUAAUGUGCUAGCAGAACUUAUUGUGUUGUCUGUCUGUUUUCUUUGCACAACAUUCAAGAUAUUUCCCCGUCAUUGACAAAGAUGAUGAACCGUUAUGUACGACUUCGUUGGUUUCAACAUAGCCCUUCCCGUAGCGAUCCACUGCUUCCACCCUGAUUGUGCCGCCUGCAUGAAAUUUUUGUAUGCAAGUUCAGUGUGCUAUGAUGUUCUAUAUGAUUGUGUCAACUAUAUAAGUUUUUACUGAGCAUCAGCAAUACAUAUGGCUGAAAGAUGUAUUUACGAGCAUCGACCGAUGGGUCUCUCUCUCUAUCUUUAUCUCUCUCACACACACACGCACACACACAAGUGCGACCCGUUGAAUUAUUUAUUUGCUCGUGACAGCUUUUAAUUAGGUUCCCCUGUAAUCUAACUUUUUUCUUAAGUUAUUAAUUGAGCUCAGUGACUUCAAAAAGUUGUAUAGAAGCCUUGUUUGGGCCUUUCUGGCGUCGCUGAAUGUGGGCUGAGUAACCAUGUUAGGUUGUACUGUACUACACAGGCCUUUUUUUUCAACAUCAGCAAUGCAACUGGGCCAACAGUUGUACACAAUAUCCGGGUCAACUUGUUAUUCUCCGCCUCGCUGGGCUGCAAACUUUCCUAGGAGGUAUGCAUUAGGCUUAACAAGAAAAUGGACUUUAAGAAAUAAUAAAUGGGAUGUAAUUAUAAUAACUAGGCAGUAACUAUGCACCAAACACGUAAUUAGUUUAAAAAAUAUAUUAUUUUUGGAAUUUCAAAAUUUUAAUUUCAUUACUUGUUGCGCGCGCAAUAUUAACGUAAUACAACUUUAUUUUGAAAUUAUAUUUAACCUGGCUAGAAAUUUCAGAUAAAAAUAUUUCGGAUCCCAUCAAAAUGUGGGAAUUUUUUUUUGAAUUAUGUUUUGAGCGGUUGUUUGAAAUUAUUAAUCGUUGUCCUAGCUAGAAGUUGGGAUGUACUUUUAACAAACUGUAAAUGGGUUGUAGUAAAGUCCAUUAGAAUUGAAAAAUGGGUGUACAUUCUUACAAAUCGCAAAUGGGCUAUAUGUUCUCUGCCAAAUCCGAGCUGUGGGCCUACUAAGUUGAUGCGUACCAAGGGCUUUGUCAACUUAGUCAAUAUAAACGAUUCUAGCUGCAGUUACCGUACGAUGUCCAUCCAACGGUCGUAGUGCUUCUUCAACCUCUGAUCUUCUUGCUCCAGCCGCCCAAAGCAGCGCUGGUCGUGCCGCGUGCUCCUACCUUUCGUGGCCGACUGUGAUGCCGCGGAGGCCUCACCGCCCCCUACUACUCCCACUGCUGGCCUAGGGCAUCCCUCUACUCACCCAUACCCCCUCUUAUUCUGCGGCCACGGCAGCCUCACGUCGCAGCCGAACUAGUGAACCCUCGUACUCCUCUCCGCGUGGGCAUUCACAGCCGCGUCUUCCCCGACUCCGCGUCUUCCCCUUCCUAGGCCUCGCCGUUGUCCAUCGCCUUGGUGCUCUCGGCGUGGCGUGGUCAAUGUGGUCAAUGACUGACUUCCAUCGGAAGAGUACUGUACUUGGAGAGGCUGACAGCUGGGUCCACGGCCAAAGCCCAGUUUUUUUGUGAUUUACCAAGUAAGUCGCUUUGUCAGGCCUGUUGGGCUGCAAAUCUUUCAAUCCGAGGAGAGCUUCAUUCGGCAGGCCGAGAAAAUGGCCUAUCAGUAAUGAGAAAUGGGUUGUACAUUUUUAAAACACAUCAAACAGACAAUUAGUUUCAAAUUUCUUUUUUUCAUUUCAAGAUUUUAAAUUGCAUUGAUUUUUAUGCGUGGACAAUUUGUUGGAUUUUAUAUUGAUAUACAUUUAUUUUUAAAAUCAGUUUGAAUGUGACUCGAAAUUUUGGGAUGAAAAACAGUUCGGACCGCACCGAAAUAUGCAAAAAUUCGUAUAAUUUUUUAACCGUGGCCACAAUAUGGGCUGUAAUGCUAACAAAAAGAAUAUGGGCUCCAAAAAACCUUAAGAAUUAGCAAAUGGGCUAUAAAUUAUUAGAAAUAAUGGCAGAUGGGUUGUAUGCUGUUUUCCAUAGAUUUGAGGCUUUCCUAAACAAAAGGUUGACGCACAAGCAGUGACUGUUGGAUUUCCAUCCAACGGCCGUCGUGCUUCUUCAAUCUCUGCUCUUCUUGUUCCUGUCGCUCAAACAAGCGCCGGCGGGACUGCCUGCUCCCUCCUGCCCGCGGCCGGCUGUGCUGUCGCGGAGGCCUCACCGCCCCACCGUACCCCCAUCGCUGGCCUAGCCAUCCCUCUACUCACCCACACCUGUUGUUAUUCUCCGGCGAUGGCAGACGAACCAGUAAACCCUCGUACAGUCGUACUCCCCUCCGCGUGGGAAACAACUAUCGAGUCUUCCCUGCCUCCGUCUCGUUCCCCUCCUAGGCCUUGUCGCCGUCCACCGCCCUGGUGCUCUCGGCGCGGCCUGGUCAACGUGGUCAACGGCCGACAUGCAUCUGAAGUGGAUUGUACGUGGAGAGGCUGACAUCUGGGUCCAUGGUCGCAGCAAGGAAGUGCAUCCUUAUUACGCGUAAAAUAAUUACUCCUCCAUCUGACAGUAGGGACCCACCGGACCGGCCACCGUAUUUCGCGAAAAAAUGUCCCCCUGACUGCUGGGACCCACCAGCUACAUCUUCGCACGCAAGGAAGUGUGUCCGGGCAAAAAAACGAUUUGCCUCCUGACUGCUGGGACCCACCAGCUACACCUUUGCACGCAAGGAAGUGCGUCCAGAAAAAAAACGAUUCGCCUCCUCGACUGCUGGGACCCACCAGCUACAUCUUCGCACGCAAGGAAGUGCCUGACAGUCGUGUAACGCCCCGGAUUCGUUGCGCCAGGUGUCCGCCAGUUAUUCGCCGUUGUUGCCAUGUCGUUUGCUUGCGUGUUGCAUAUUGUCAUGUCAUCAUGGGCAUUUCAUUUUGCAUACGUGUUCGUCUCAUGCAUCCGAGCCUUUUCCCCGUUGUCCGUUUCGCGAUCCGGCGCUCCUAUGCCCUCCGGCGCUCCCCUUUUCAUGUCCUAUUGUGAGUGGGUGUUAACCUUUCUCGGAAUGGCCCGAGGUUUGCCAAGCAGCCUUGGUAUAGCACCGGUAGACCGCCUGUCAAGUUACGUGCCAUUUGGAGUUCGUUUGGUACUCCAACGGUUAACCGCGCAGCCCGAAACCCCCCUUUCUCUUUGCAGCCCAACACCCCUCCAAAGUGGCCAAAAACCCAGCAAACUCCCCUCUAUGCUCUCGGUCGUUCGACCACGAUUGCGUGGCCGAAAACCGCUCCUCAUUUGGACUCUCCUAGCUCCUUCUACAUAUAAAUAUGUGCAUCUCCCCCGAAAUCCCGGUCUAACCCUAGCCAUCUUCAUCCUCUCGCCGCCGGACACGUCCGCCCGAGCCGGACAUGUCCGCCCGACACCUCACCCCGACCAAUCCCCACGCGCCACGUCACCCCGCCGCCGCCCGCAGCCAACCAGCCGCCGCGACCUCACCCGGCCCGCGCCCUCUCUCUCUCCCCAAUGCGCCGCGACCCGCGAGGCCCNNNNNNNNNNNNNNNNNNNNNNNNNNNNNNNNNNNNNNNNNNNNNNNNNNNNNNNNNNNNNNNNNNNNNNNNNNNNNNNNNNNNNNNNNNNNNNNNNNNNNNNNNNNNNNNNNNNNNNNNNNNNNNNNNNNNNNNNNNNNNNNNNNNNNNNNNNNNNNNNNNNNNNNNNNNNNNNNNNNNNNNNNNNNNNNNNNNNNNNNNNNNNNNNNNNNNNNNNNNNNNNNNNNNNNNNNNNNNNNNNNNNNNNNNNNNNNNNNNNNNNNNNNNNNNNNNNNNNNNNNNNNNNNNNNNNNNNNNNNNNNNNNNNNNCGCCGGCCACCGCCGUUCGUGCCCGGCCGCGCCCCGCCGCCCUUUGCCGGCGCCGCCCUCCGCCAUCCCGCCAGCGAGCUCGCCGCCCCUCUGCUCCGGCCACCGCGACCCUCUUCUUCUUCGGCGAGCCCGAUCCAGAUCCGAGGUUGACUUUCCCCUUCCCCAAAAAUUCGUCCGAGUCCCGAAUAUUUUACAUAAUCAUGCCAUGUUCAUCGCAUUGUAUCUCUGCAUCCGUAGCUCCGUUUCGUGCGUGUAAUAUGUCAAAUUGUUCGUCUCAAUGAGUAAUUCAUUUAAUUCCAUUGCAUCAUGUUUAUUUGAGCUCAUCUUGAUGCCUGAAUCAUCAUUGCAAGAGUGCUUCAGGAUGUUUUCUGCUGUCUGUUAACAGAACUUGCACUUUUGUCAUUUUUGCCAUGUUUGAUGUGUGCAUCUUAUGAGGUUGAUGUCUACAUGUGUUUUGAUCUAUGCUAUGUCUUCUUUACAGAGGUGCUUACCAUGUAUUUUUGUGAUUAAUGUGGUGACUAGCACAAUCAUUAAACUAGGCAUCGUGAUGAUGCUGAUUUUAGUCCCUGUUCUACUGUUAUUUUGAUCCCAUGUAAACAUGAUGCUACAGAGAGAUCCAUGCAUAUUUUGAGAUACUUCAGUAAGGAUGUUUUAAACAUAUGGUUAUUGUCUAUCCAUUCAUGGUCCUGUUGGCAAUUAUGGAGUAGUCUAGCAUGUCAUUUUCGUGCUCUACUUUUUCUAGAAAAUGUUUCCUGGCAGAUUGUGUAGAUGUUAUUCAAUUUUGCCAAGGUUGUUGUAGUUGAUCCUUGCAUGCUAUGAACUUGUUCUUGCCUUGGUUUGUUUCAUAAACAUGUCUUAUUGAUGAUGCUAUGCUUAUCUUGUCAUGCAAUUACUUGUGGUGAGUGAAUCGAGCUUGUUAAGUAGUGUACUUGCUGUUACUAUUUGCUAGGCUGAAUCUGUUAUUUCGCGAUGCUAUGUAAACCUGCUGCUACAACUCAUUCUAUGCAUAAUUUGGAGAUGUUCACUAAAUAUAUUUUGUUCUACAUGUCAUGCUCUAUCCAUCCAUGCCCCUGGUUGCAUUUAUAGCUUGUUGUAGCUUGUUCAUAUCUUGCUUCAAAGUUGCUUGAUAAUGUUGCUGUCAGCCUGUUAACAUUAAGUUCAGUUGUUGCCAUGUGUUUUUCUAGUGAUCCAUGUACCCUAUGAACUUGCUCUUGCCAUGCUUAGCUUCACAAACAUGCCUUCUUACUGUUGGUUGCCUUUCCAUGCCAUGUUUUGCUCUGUGGUGAGUGGUACAAGCUCAUCUACAUGCCUUCAUAAUUCUGUUUCUGCCAUGUUUGAAUCUGCAUUAUAACUUGCUAUGUUUACAUGGGUGCCAUCACAUUUUCUGUUCCUUUUUGGCUCAUGGUCAGUAAGGGACUUUUGUUCUAUCCAUUUAGUAGUAUCAUGUCAUGCUUUUCUUUGCCAUGAUAUGUUCCUAUAACACGUUGUUUGAUAGCUCUGAACAUUGCAACCUGAUGUUAUUUUCUGCAAAAUCUCAACUGUUAUUAUUUGCAAUCUUGCCAUGUGUGUUUGAGCAUGUUCUAGUGAUUUCUGGAGAUAGCUCAGUGUUCAUGUUUUGGUAUGCUUUACCUGUACAUCGUCUCCAUGCCUUUUGUUUUCUUGUUGAGAUGCUGUAGCAUGUUGUUUUGAUGCUUGCAAUAUGCCUAGUUGCUGUUUUGGACAGCUUGUCCUUUAAACUUGUUUCAUGUGUGUGUGUUGAACCGUUGCUCCGUUUUGAGUGUGCUCUAUACGAAACUUGCUUAGAGUUGCAUGUAGUUCCAUAUUAUCAUGUUGCAUCCUUGUUUUGAGGUGUUUUGCUUGAUGUUUGAAUGCAUUUUGCAUCAAUGCCAUGUUUAACUUGUUUUGCUCAUAUCUUCUAGGCCGUAGCUCCGAAUUAAAUGAACUUUACAUGUAACUUGACUAGAAUCUCGUGUAGAUUAUCUCGGUGCAUCUUAACUUGCUGUUUAACAAUUUGAACAUAAGGUUUAUUCAGAUCUGGACCAACUUCGAAAUUUGCAUAUGAGGACUUACCGGAAUUGUUAUAUGUUGUUCCCGGCCUCAUUUAAACCUGCCUUGAUGUGUUGCUCUUGUUUGCAUCAUCUCUUGCCAUGAGUAGCUUCAUGUAGCUUUGUCUUGCAUCAUGCUUGUUGUGCAUCAUGUCUUGUUCAUGUGUGGUGUGUUUACUAUGUUGUGUGUUUCUUCUCGAUAGUUCCUGUUUCGUUGCGAUCGUGAGGAUUCGUUCGUCUACGCUUGGUUCGGCCUCAUCCGUUCGUCUUCUUCAUGGACUCGUUCUUCUUCCUUGCGGGAUUUCAGGCAAGAUGACCGCUACCCUGGAUCUCACUACUAUCAUUGCUAUGCUAGUUGCUUCGUUCUAUCGUUAUGCUGCGCUACCUAUCUUUUGCUCAUCAAGCCUCCCAUAUUGCCAUGAACCUCUAACCUUUGACACCUUUCCUAUGCAAACCGUUGCUUGGCUAUGUUACCGCUUUGCUCAGCCCCUCUUAUAGCGUUGCUAGUUGCAGGUGAACUUGAAGAUUGCUCCAUGGUGGACAGGAUUUUGGUUGGGAUAUCACAAUAUCUCUUAUAUUACUAAUGCAUCUAUAUACUUGGUAAAGGGUGGAAGACUCGGCAUUUUGCCUGGUGUUUUGUUCCACUCUUGCCGCCCUAGUUUCCGUCAUACCGGUGUUAUGUUCCCGGAUUUUGUGUUCCUUACGCGGUCGGGUGAUUUAUGGGACCCCCUUGACAGUUCGCUUUGAAUAAAAGUCCUCCAGCAAGGCCCAACCUUGGUUUUACCAUUUGCCUCACCACCACCUAUACCUUUCCCUUGGGUCGGCCAACCCAAGGGUCAUCUUUAUUUUAGCCCCCCCGGGCCAGUGCUUGUCUAAGUGUUGGUCCGAACCGAGUAGACUACGGGGCCCCCUCGGGGAAACUCGAGGUCUGGUUUUACUCGUAGGAUGUCUCAUCCGCUGUUACCCUGAGAACGAGAUAUGUGCAGCUCCUAUCGGGAUUGUCGGUGCAUUGGGCGGCUUUGCUGGUCUUGUUUUACCAUUGUCGAAAUGUCUUGUAAACCGGGAUUCCGAGUCUGAUCGGGUCUUCCUGGGAGAAGGUAUAUCCUUCGUUGAUCGCGAGAGCUUAUCAUGGGCUAAGUUGGGACACCCCUGCAGGGUAUAAUCUUUCGAAAGCCGUGCCUGCGGUUAUAGGCAGAUGGGAAUUUGUUAAUGUCCGGUUGCAGAUAACUUGACAUCAGAUCCGAAUUAAAACGCAUCAACCGUGUGUGUAGCCGUGAUGGUCUCUUUUCGGCGGAGUCCGGGAAGUGAACAUGGUUUUUGGGUUAUGUUUGACGUAAGUAGGAGUUCAGGAUCACUUCUUGAUCAUUACUAGUUGAGACCGUUCCUUUUGCUCUCUUCUCGCUCUUAUUUGCAUAUGUUAGCCACCAUACUUGCUUAGUCGCUGCUGCAGCCUCACCACUUUACCCCUUCCUUUCCCUUUAAGCUUUGCUAGUCUUGAUACCCAUGGUAAUGGGAUUGCUGAGUCCUCGUGGCUCAUAGAUUACUACAACAACAGUUGCAGGUACAGGUUUAUACGAUGAUCAUGACGCGAGAGCGAUGUUUGCUUAUUUGGAGUUCUUCUUCUGCUUCUUCUUCGAUCAGGGGAUAGGUUCCAGGUCGGCAGCCUGGGCUAGCAGGGUGGAUGUCAUUUGAGUUUCUGUUUGAGUUUCAUCCGUAGUCGGAUGGUGUUCUUGUAAGAUGAUGUUGUAUUCGUGUGGCAUUGUAUGCCUCUUGUAUGUAUCCCUAUCUAUUAUGUAAUGUUAAUGUAAUGAUAUCUACCUUGCAAAAGCGUUUCAAUAUGCGGGUCUAUCCUUGGUGGGACCUUCGAGUCCCUUUUGGAUAGGGUCGCAUAUUGGGCGUGACAAGUUGGUAUCAGAGCCUCGACCGACCCUAGGAGCCCCCUUGAUUGAUCGUGUAGCUUGGCCGUUGUUGAGUCUAGAAGAAAAUUGUUUUCGGAGUCUAGUUAUAUCGGAGAGUAGGAAUUUUUUUUACUCCUCAGUCCCUUUGUCACUCUGGUAAGGAAUCUUGACGUAGGUGUUUUGAAUUACUUCUCUUCCCCUUCAAAUUUUUCUUUAGGUUCACGCAGUUGGUUUUUCGAUCGUUCUUCCUCAGCUCUUUUCAUCCGGUGCAUUUCUCGUCAAGUCAACUCGAGCCUCUUCAUCUUUGAGUUCAAUCCUCAGUUGUUUUCUUUUCCCACCCGCCCAACCCUCUUCUUCUUGGAACCGGAGUCCGUAAUCGAGCAUCCGUCCUACUCGUGUGAAGCCUUUGCUUUCUUUCAACCAGUGUUUUCUCUUCAAGUUAUUCAUCGGUUCCCCUUCCAAGUUGCCUUUGUUUUCCCGCCCUCCCACCCCUUUUUCUUCCCGGAGUCUGUCUCUCUCUCGACCAUCUAUUUCAUUCGUGUGGAGCCUCUUCAGUCUUUCAUAAAUUAUCUCAACCGGUGAAUUCUCGUCUCGGUGGACAUUCUUCAUCUCUUUUCUUCUCCGGUGGACUCAAUUCAUGUUUUUUCGGGUUGAUCACAUUCUUUUCCCUCUGAUCAAGUGUUUUCCCUGCUCGUUCGCCUCUCGCCAGUUUAUCCUUCCAGAGUGUUCAAGACAUCUCAGGAGAUUCGUCUAUGUUCCAAUUAAUUCGAGGUUGUCACCUCAUUCAAAUAGUUCAACUCUUCCGGAGCAUCAUUUAUCUGUUCAACAUUCCUUUUCAACGGUGUUUUUCUAUUAGUGGGCCCUAACCCAUAGGUCUUUUUCCAGGAUCUUACCUGACUCUUCUAAUUCCCGGGGUUAUUCUCAAUUCUUUUCAAGUGUGACGUAAGAAUGCAUUUUAUCAGUCACAUGCCUUCUCCAAGAUCGCGAUCAAAUUCUUUUCAUGGUUACCUCAACCUCUUCGAUUUUCAUUCUCCAAGAGUAUCUCAGUAAUUUCGGUGGUGUUUCUUGUCGUCUUUCUCAGCUUUGAAGAUCGAAGAAGAGUUUUUCCUUUAAACCUUGUCCGUUCUCUCAAAGAUUCGUGGUUCUAGCUUCAUGUUAUCCUCGCGAAUUACCCUGUUUGUCAGAAGUUGUUUCCAGUUUCUUUUCUUUAGAGGCCAUCAUUCCAGUCAUCGUCCUAUAAUUAUCCCGGUACUUCGUUCAAGUGUUCUUUAAUCAGCUCAUGAUCUCUUUGUUCUUCUGCAUCUAAAUCCCCCUCAAACAUAUUGUUUCUUCCUGGUGAUUCAUUCUCUUUCAUCAGUCAUUUUCGAAUUCUUACGGUGGUUCAUUCAAGAUUAUUUGUCCUUGAUUAUCAUUUUAUAUCUUUCGUUCUUCCCAAUCCUACCGGUGGUUCAUGAAGACCUUCUCAAGUUUUGCACCAUAUUCUUCUCAAUCCUUUUCAAGAAGAAUAAGUAGUAUGCCAAAUCCAUUGCUUGUCAUCAAUUUAAUUUGAUGAAGGAUAAGCAUACAAUAAAUCUUAUUCUUAUUCCAUCCAAGUGAAUAAUCCCUUCCUUCGGAGUUUGUUCUUGAUGAAUAAAUUCUAGUUCCAAGUGUUUUCAUCUUUUCUUUUCCGGAGUUCAAAUUUCCUCAGCCAUUUCGUCGGAACCUCCAUCUAAAUCACCACAAGGCUCAUCCUAUGCUUUCAUCCUUUAUUUAUCUCAUCAUCCUUUCAUUACCGGAGUUCUUCAUGGUGGUUCUUUAUGAUUUAAUUUAUUGUUCAAGAGUUCAUCAAGAUUUUUGUUGGUAGAGUUCAAGUAUCUUUUCUUCUCGCAUCUCGAAGUGCAAUUAAUUCUCCAUUUUCUUUUGAAAUGGAGUUUUGCAUUUCCUCUUUCUUCCUAGUUAUUUAAUCUUUUCCGCUUGUGGUCGGUUAUCAGAUCAUAAAUUUUGAGACGUUAUCCAUAAGUCCACAUCAAGCUUAUUCUUUCGUUGUUUAUUUUCUCAACAACUCCGUUCAACCCUUCCUUCAAAGCUCUUUUCAUUCUCUUUCAAUUCUUUCCGGAGGUUUUUUGUCAUGCCUUCAUCAAGUAUCAUUCCAUCCUCUCAAGCUCGUGUUCUAUUCCUCCAUGUUUCAACCGGAGUGCUGCCUAAAUCCUUUCAGUCUUAUUCCUUUUUCUUAUCUCAUUUUAACCGGAGUGGUUUCAUAGUCUAUCUGAUUCCGUGAACUUUCUAUUCUCGUCAUUCUCGUCGUUCCUCUCUUUUUCUUGAGUGCUCUCAAUUCUUUUCUUCUUCUCUUGAGUUCUUGUUUCACCUCAUCCCUUUUCUCUUCCGUCUUGGUCCUAAGAUCUCGGGACGAGAUCUCUUGUUAGUGGAGGAGUGUUGUAACGCCCCGGAUUCGUUGCGCCAGGUGUCUGCCAGUUAUUCGCCAUCGUUGCCAUGUCGUUUGCUUGUGUGUUGCAUAUUUUCAUGUCAUCAUGGGCAUUUCAUUUUGCAUACGUGUUCGUCUCAUGCAUCCGAGCCUUUUCCCCGUUGUCCGUUUCACGAUCCGGCACUCCUAUGCCCUCCGGCGCUCCCCUUUUCGUCUCCUGUUGUGAGUGGGUGUUAAACUUUCUCGGAAUGGCCCGAGGUUUGCCAAGCAGCCUUGGUAUAGCACCGGUAGACUGCCUGUCAAGUUUCGUGCCAUUUGGAGUUCGUUUGGUACUCCAACGGUUAACCGCGCAGCCCGAAACCCCCCUUUCUCUUUGCAGUCCAACACCCCUCCAACGUGGCCAAAAACCCAGCAAACUCACCUCUAUGCUCUCGGUCGUUCGAUCAUGAUCGCGUGGCCGAAAACCUCUCCCCAUUUGGACUCUCCUAGCUCCUUCUACAUAUAAAUAUGUGCAUCUCCCCCGAAAUCCCGGUCUAACCCUAGCCAUCUUCAUCCUCGCGCCGCCGGACACAUCCGCCCGAGCCGGACAUGUCCGCCAGACACCUCACCCCGACCAAUCCCCACGCGCCACGUCACCCCGCCGCCGCCCGCAGCCAACCGGCCGCCGCCACCUCACCCGGCCCGCCCGCUCUCUCUCUCCCCACCGNNNNNNNNNNNNNNNNNNNNNNNNNNNNNNNNNNNNNNNNNNNNNNNNNNNNNNNNNNNNNNNNNNNNNNNNNNNNNNNNNNNNNNNNNNNNNNNNNNNNNNNNNNNNNNNNNNNNNNNNNNNNNNNNNNNNNNNNNNNNNNNNNNNNNNNNNNNNNNNNNNNNNNNNNNNNNNNNNNNNNNNNNNNNNNNNNNNNNNNNNNNNNNNNNNNNNNNNNNNNNNNNNNNNNNNNNNNNNNNNNNNNNNNNNNNNNNNNNNNNNNNNNNNNNNNNNNNNNNNNNNNNNNNNNNNNNNNNNNNNNNNNNNNNNNNNNNNNNNNNNNNNNNNNNNNNNNNNNNNNNNNNNNNNNNNNNNNNNNNNNNNNNNNNNNNNNNNNNNNNNNNNNNNNNNNNNNNNNNNNNNNNNNNNNNNNNNNNNNNNNNNNNNNNNNNNNNNNNNNNNNNNNNNNNNNNNNNNNNNNNNNNNNNNNNNNNNNNNNNNNNNNNNNNNNNNNNNNNNNNNNNNNNNNNNNNNNNNNNNNNNNNNNNNNNNNNNNNNNNNNNNNNNNNNNNNNNNNNNNNNNNNNNNNNNNNNNNNNNNNCCGCCAUCCCGCCAGCGAGCUCGCCGCCCCUCUGCUCCGGCCACCGCGACCCUAUUCUUCUUCGGCGAGCCCGAUUCAGAUCCGAGGUUGACUUUCCCCUUCCCAAAAAUUCGUCCGAGUCCCGAAUAUUUUACAUAAUCAUGCCAUGUUCAUCGCAUUGUAUCUCUGCAUCCGUAGCUCCGUUUCGUGCGUGUAAUAUGUCAAAUUGUUCGUCUCAAUGAGUAAUUCAUUUAAUUCCAUUGCAUCAUGUUUAUUUGAGCUCAUCUUGAUGCCUGAAUCAUCAUUGCAAGAGUGCUUCAGGAUGUUUUCUGCUGUCUGUUAACAGAACUUGCACUUUUGUCAUUUUUGCCAUGUUUGAUGUGUGCAUCUUAUGAGGUUGAUGUCUACAUGUGUUUUGAUCUAUGCUAUGUCUUCUUUACAGAGGUGCUUACCAUGUAUUUUUGUGAUCAAUGUGGUGACUAGCACAAGCAUGCAAACUAGGCAUCGUGAUGAUGCUGAUUUUAGUCCCCGUUCUGCUGUUAUUUUGAUGCCAUGUAAACAUGAUGCUAUAGAGAGAUCCAUGCAUAUUUUGAGAUACUUCUGUAAGGAUCUUUUGAACAUAUGGUUAUUGUCUUUCCAUUCAUGCCCCUGUUGGAAAUUAUGGAGUAGUCUAGCAUGUCAUUUUCGUGCUCUACUUUUGCUACAAAAUGUUUCCUGGCAGAUUGUUUACAUGCUAUUCAAUUUUGUCAAGGUUGUUGUAGUUGAACGUUGCAUGCUAUGAACUUGUUCUUGCCUUGGUUUGUUUCAUAAACCUGUUUUAUUGAUGAUGCUAUGCUUAUCUUGUCAUGCAAUGACUUGUGGUGAGUGAAUCGAGCUUGUUAAUUAGUGUACUGGCUGUUACUGUUUGCUAGGCUGAAUCUGUUAUUUCGCGAUGCUAUGUAAACCUGCUGCUACAACUCAUUCUAUGCAUAAUCUGGAGAUGUUCACUAAAUAUGUUUUGUUCUACAUGUAAUGCUCUAUCCAUCCAUGCCCCUGGUUGCAUUUAUAGCUUGCUGUAGCUUGUUCAUAUCUUGCUUCAAAGUUGCUUGAUAAUGUUGCUGUCAGCCUGUUAACAUUAAGUUCAGUUGUUGCCAUGUGUUUUUCUAGUGAUCCAUGUACCCUAUGAACUUGCUCUUGCCAUGCUUAGCUUCACAAACAUGCCUUCUUACUAUUGGUUGCCUUUCCAUGCCAUGUUUUGCUCUGUGGUGAGUGGUACAAGCUCAUCUACAUGCCUUCAUAAUUCUGUUUCUGCCAUGUUUGAAUCUGUAUUAUAACUUGCUAUGUUUACAUGGGUGCCAUCACAUUUUCUGUUCCUUUUUGGCUCAUGGUCAGUAAGGGACUUUUGUUCUAUGCAUUUAGUAAUAUCAUGCCAUGCUUUUGUUUGCCAUGAUAUGUUCCUGUAACAUGUUGUUUGAUAGCUCUGAACAUUGCAACCUGAUGUUAUUUUCUGCAAAGUCUGAACUGUUAUUAUUUACAAUCUUGCCAUGUGUGUUUGAGCAUGUUCUAGUGAUUUCUGGAGAUAGCUCAGUGUUCAUGUUUUGUUAUGCUUUGCCUGUACAUCAUGUCCAUGCCUUUUGUUUUCUUGUUGAGAUGCUGUAGCAUGUUGUUUUGAUGCUUGCAAUAUGCCUAGUUGCUGUUUUGGACAGCUUGUCCUUUAAACUUGUUUCAUGUGUGUGUGUUGAACCGUUGCUCCGUUUUGAGUGUGCUCUAUACGAAACUUGCUUAGAAUUGCAUGUAGUUACAUACUAUAAUGUUGCAUCCUUGUUUUGAGGUGUUCUGCUUGAUGUUUGAAUGCAUUUUGCAUCAAUGCCAUGUUUAACUUGUUUUGCUCAUAUCUUCUAGGCCGUAGCUCCGAAUUAAAUGAACUUUACAUGUAACUUGACUAGAAUCUCGCGUAGAUCAUAUCGGUGCAUCUUAACUUGUUGUUUAACAACUUGAACAUAAGGUUUAUUCAGAUCUGUACCAACUUCGAAAUUUGCAUAUGAGGACUUACCAGAAUUGUUAUAUGUUGUUCCCGGCCUCAUUUAAACUUGCCUUGAUGUGUUGCUCUUGUUUGCAUCAUCUCUUGCCAUGAGUAGCUUCAUGUAGCUUUCUCUUGCAUCAUGCUUGUUGUGCAUCAUGUCUUGUUCAUGUGUGGUGUGUUUACUAUGUUGUGUGUUUCUUCUCGAUAGUUCCUGUUUCGUUGCGAUCGUGAGGAUUCGUUCGUCUACGCUUGGUUCGGCCUCAUCCGUUCAUCUUCUUCAUGGACUCGUUCUUCUUCCUUGCGGGAUUUCAGGCAAGAUGACCGCUACCCUGGAUCUCACUACUAUCAUUGCUAUGCUAGUUGCUUCGUUCUAUCGCUAUGCUGCGCUACCUAUCUUUUGCUCAUCAAGCCUCCCAUAUUGCCAUGAACCUCUAACCUUUGACACCUUUCCUAUGCAAACCGUUGCUUGGCUAUGUUACCGCUUUGCUCAGCCCCUCUGAUAGCGUUGCUAGUUGCAGGUGAACUUGAAGAUUGCUCCAUGGUGGACAGGAUUUUGGUUGGGAUAUCACAAUAUCUCUUAUAUUAUUAAUGCAUCUAUAUACUUGGUAAAGGGUGGAAGACUCGGCCUUUUGCCUGGUGUUUUGUUCCACUCUUGCCGCCCUAGUUUCCGUCAUACCGGUGUUAUGUUCCCGGAUUUUGUGUUCCUUACGCGGUCGGGUGAUUUAUGGGACCCCCUUGACAGUUCGCUUUGAAUAAAACUCCUCCAGCAAGGCCCAACCUUGGUUUUACCAUUUGCCUCACCACCACCUAUACCUUUCCCUUGGGUCGGCCAACCCAAGGGUCAUCUUUAUUUUAGCCCCCCCCGGGCCAGUGCUUGUCUAAGUGUUGGUCCGAACCGAGUAGACUACGGGGCCCCCUCGGGGAAACUCGAGGUUUGGUUUUACUCGUAGGAUGUCUCAUCCGGUGUUGCCCUGAGAAUGACAUAUGUGCAGCUCCUAUCGGGAUUGUUGGUGCAUCGGGCGGCUUUGCUGGUCUUGUUUUACCAUUGUCGAAAUGUCUUGUAAACCGGGAUUCCGAGUCUGAUCGUGUCUUCCUGGGAGAAGGUAUAUCCUUCGUUGAUCGCGAGAGCUUAUCAUGGGCUAAGUUGGGACACCCCUGCAGGGUAUAAUCUUUCGAAAGCCGUGCCUGCGGUUAUAGGCAGAUGGGAAUUUGUUAAUGUCCGGUUGUAGAUAACUUGACAUCAGAUCCGAAUUAAAACGCAUCAACCGUGUGUGUAGCCGUGGUGGUCUCUUUUCGGUGGAGUCCGGGAAGUGAACACGAUUUUUGGGUUAUGUUUGACGUAAGUAGGAGUUCAGGAUCACUUCUUGAUCAUUACUAGUUGACGGCCGUUCCUUUUGCUCUCAUCUCGCUCUUAUUUGCGUAUGUUAGCCACCAUACUUGCUUAGUCGCUGCUGCAGCCUCACCACUUUACCCCUUCCUUUCCCUUUAAGCUUUGCUAGUCUUGAUACCCAUGGUAAUGGGAUUGCUGAGUCCUCGUGGCUCACAGAUUACUACAACAACAGUUGCAGGUACAGGUUUAUAUGAUGAUCAUGACGCGAGAGCGAUGUUUGCUUAUUUGGAGUUCUUCUUCUGCUUCUUCUUCGAUCAGGGGAUAGGUUCUAGGUCGGUAGCCUGGGCUAGCAGGGUGGAUGUCGUUCGAGUUUCAGUUUGAGUUUCAUCCGUAGUCGGAUGGUGUUCUUGUAAGAUGAUGUUGUAUUCGUGUGGCAAUGUAUGCCUCUUGUAUGUAUCUCUAUCUAUUAUGUAAUGGUGAUGUAAUGAUAUCCACCUUGCAAAAGCGUUUCAAUAUGCGGGUCUAUCCUUGGUGGGACCUUCGAGUUCCUUUUGGAUAGGAUCGCAUAUUGGGCGUGACAAGUUGGUAUCAGAGCCUCGACCGACCCUAGGAGCCCCCUUGAUUGAUCGUGUAGCUUGGUCGUUGUUGAGUCUAGAAGAAAACUGUUUUCGGAGUCUAGUUAUAUCGGAGAGUAGGAAUUUUUUUACUCCUCAGUCCCUUCGUCGCUCUGGUAAGGAAUCUUGACGUAGGUGUUUUGAAUUACUUCUCUUCCCCUUCAAAUUUUUCUUUAGGUUCACGCAGUUGGUUUUUCGAUCGUUGUUCCUCGGCUCUUUUCAUCCGGUGCAUUUCUCGUCAAGUCGACUCGAGCCUCUUCAUAUUUGAGUUCAAUCCUCAGUUGUUUUCUUUUCCCACCCGCCCAACCCUCUUUUUCUUGGAACCGGAGUCCGUAAUCGAGUAUCCAUCCUACUCGUGUGAAGCCUUUGCUUUCUUUCAACCAGUGUUUUCUCUUCAAGUUAUUCAUCGGUUCCCCUUCCAAGUUGCCUUUGUUUUCCUGCCCUCCCAUCCCUUUUUCUUCCCGGAGUCUCUCUCUCUCUCUCUCUCUCGACCAUCUAUUUCAUUCGUGUGGAGCCUCUUCAGUCUUUUGUAAAUUAUCUCAACCGGUGAAUUCUCGUCUCGGUGGACAUUCUUCAUCUCUUUUCUUCUCCGGUGGACUCAAUUCAUGUUUUUUCGGGUUGAUCACAUUCUUUUCCCUCGGAUCAAGUGUUUUCCCUGCUCGUUCGCCUCUCGCCAGUUUAUCCUUCCGGAGUGUUCAAGACAUCUCAGGAGAUUCGUCUGUGUUCCAAUUAAUUCGAGGUUGUCACCUCAUUCAAAUAGUUCAACUGUUCCGGAGCAUCAUUUAUCUGUUCAACAAUCCUUUUCAACGGUGUUUUUCUAUUAGUGGGCCCUAACCCACAGGUCUUUUUCCAGGAUCUUACCUAACUCUUCUAAUUCCCGGGGUUAUUCUCAAUUCAUUUCAAGUGUGACGUAAGAAUGGAUUUUAUCAGUCACAUGCCUUCUCCAAGAUCGCGUUCAAAUUCUUUUCAUGGUUGCCUCAACCUCUUCGAUUUUCAUUCUCCCGGAGUAUCUUAGUAAUUUCGAUGGUGUUUCUCGUCGUCUUUCUCAGCUUUGAAGAUCGAAGAAGAGUUUUUCCUUUAACCCUUGUCCGUCCUCUCAAAGAUUCGUGGUUCUAACUUCAUGUUAUCCUCGCGAAUUACCCUGUUUGUCAGAAGUUGUUUCCAGUUUCUUUUCUUCGGAGGCCAUCAUUCCAGUCAUCGUCCUCUAAUUAUCCCGGUGCUUCGUUCAAGUGUUCUUUAAUCAGCUCAUGAUCUCUUUGUUCUUCUGCAUCUAAAUCCCCCUCAAACAUAUUGUUUCUUCCCGGUGAUUCAUUCUCUUUCAUCAGUCAUUUUCGAAUUCUUACGGUGGUUCAUUCAAGAUUAUUUGUCCUUGAUUAUCAUUUUAUAUCUUUCGUUCUUCCCAAUCCUACCGGUGGUUCAUGAAGACCUUCUCAAGUUUUGCGCCAUAUUCUUCUCAAUCCUUUUCAAGAAGAAUAAGUAGUAUGCCAAAUCCAUUGCUUGUCAUCAAUUUAAUUUGAUGAAGGAUAAGCAUACAAUAAAUCUUAUUCUUAUUCCAUCCAAGUGAAUAAUCCCUUCCUUCGGAGUUUGUUCUUGAUGAAUAAAUUCUAGUUCCAAGUGUUUUCAUCUUUUCUUUUCCGGAGUUCAAAUUUCCUCAGCCAUUUCAUCGGAACCUCCAUCUAAAUCACCGCAAGGCUCAUCCUAUGCUUUCAUCCUUUAUUUUAUCUCAUCAUCCUUUCGUUACCGGAGUUCUUCAUGGUGGUUCUUUAUGAUUUAAUUUAUUGUUUGAGAGUUCAUCAAGAUUUUUGUUGGUAGAGUUCAAGUAUCUUUUCUUCUCGCAUCUCGAAGUGCAAUUAAUUCUCCGUUAUCUUUUGAAAUGGAGUUUUGCAUUUCUUCUUUCUUCCCAGUUAUUUAAUCUUUUCCGCUCGUGGUCGGUUAUCAGAUCAUAAAUUUUGAGACGUUAUCCAUAAGUCCACAUCAAGCUUAUUCUUUCGUUGUUGAUUUUCUCAACAACUCCGUUCAACCCUUCCUUCAAAGCUCUUUUCAUUCUCUUUCAAUUCUUUCCAGAGGUUUUGUGUCAUGCCUUCAUCAAUUAUCAUUCCAUCCUCACAAGCUCGUGUUCUAUUCCUCCAUGUUUCAACCGGAGUGCUGCCUAAAUCCUUUCAGUCUUAUUCCUUUUUCUUAUCUCGUUUUAACCGGAGUGGUUUCAUAGUCUAUCUGAUUCCGUGAACUUUCGAUUCUCGUCAUUCUCGUCGUUCCUCUCUUUUUCUUGAGUGCUCUCGAUUCUUUGCUUCUUCUCUUGAGUUCUUGUUUCACCUCAUCCCUUUUCUCUUCCGUCUCGGUCCUAAGAUCUCGGGACGAGAUCUCUUGUUAGUGGAGGAGUGUUGUAACGCCCUGGAUUCGUUGCGCAAGGUGUCUGCCAGUUAUUCGCCAUCGUUGCCAUGUCGUUUGCUUGAGUUUUGCAUAUUGUCAUGUCAUCAUGGGCAUUUCAUUUUGCAUACGUGUUCGUCUCAUGCAUCCGAGCCUUUUCCCCGUUGUCCGUUUCGCGAUCCGGCACUCCUAUGCCCUCCGGCGCUCCCCUUUUCGUCUCCUGUUGUGAGUGGGUGUUAAACUUUCUCGGAAUGGCCCGAGGUUUGCCAAGCGGCCUUGGUAUAGCACCGGUAGACCGCCUGUCAAGUUUCGUGCCAUUUGGAGUUCGUUUGGUACUCCAACGGUUAACCGCGCAGCCCGAAACCCCCCUUUCACUUUGCAGCCCAACACCCCUCCAAAGUGGCCAAAAACCCAGCAAACUCCCCUUUAUGCUCUCGAUCGUUCGAUCACGAUCGCGUGGCCAAAAACCGCUCCUCAUUUGGACUCUCCUAGCUCCUUCUACCUAUAAAUAUGUGCAUCUCCCCCGAAAUCCCGGUCUAACCCUAGCCAUCUUCAUCCUCGCGCCGCCGGACACGUCCGCCCGAGCCGGACAUGUCCGCCGGACACCUCACCCCGACCAAUCCCCACGCGCCACGUCACCCCGCCGUCGCCCGCAGCCAACCAGCCGCCACCACCUCACCCGGCCCGCGCCCUCUCUCUCUCCCCACCACGCCGCGGCCCGCGAGGCCCGUGCCAGGCCCGCGGGGCCCGGAUCCGCCGNNNNNNNNNNNNNNNNNNNNNNNNNNNNNNNNNNNNNNNNNNNNNNNNNNNNNNNNNNNNNNNNNNNNNNNNNNNNNNNNNNNNNNNNNNNNNNNNNNNNNNNNNNNNNNNNNNNNNNNNNNNNNNNNNNNNNNNNNNNNNNNNNNNNNNNNNNNNNNNNNNNNNNNNNNNNNNNNNNNNNNNNNNNNNNNNNNNNNNNNNNNNNNNNNNNNNNNNNNNNNNNNNNNNNNNNNNNNNNNNNNNNNNNNNNNNNNNNNNNNNNNNNNNNNNNNNNNNNNNNNNNNNNNNNNNNNNNNNNNNNNNNNNNNNNNNNNNNNNNNNNNNNNNNNNNNNNNNNNNNNNNNNNNNNNNNNNNNNNNNNNNNNNNNNNNNNNNNNNNNNNNNNNNNNNNNNNNNNNNNNNNNNNNNNNNNNNNNNNNNNNNNNNNNNNNNNNNNNNNNNNNNNNUGUCUCGCCGCCGGCCGGCACGCCGCGCGCCCGAGCUCCCGGAUCCGCCCGCGCCCUUCGCCGGCCGCCGUCGUUCGUGCCUGGCCGUGCCCCACCGCCCUUUGCUGGCACCGCCCUCCGCCAUCCCGCCAGCGAGCUCGCAGCCCCUCUGCUCCCGCCACCGCGACCCUCUUCUUCUCCGGCGAGCCCGAUCCAGAUCCAAGGUUGACUUUCCCCUUCCCCAAAAAUUCGUCCAAGUCCCGAAUAGUUUACAUAAUCAUGCCAUGUUCAUCGCAUUGUAUCUCUGCAUCCGUAGCUCCGUUUCGUGCGUGUAAUAUGUCAAAUUGUUCACCUGAACGAGCACAUCAUUUGAUUCCAUUGCAUCAUGUUUAUUUGAGCUCAUCUUGAUGCCUGAAUCAUCGUUGCAAGAGUGCUUCAUGACGUUUUCUGCUGUCUGUUAACAGAACUUGCACUUUUGUCAUUUUUGCCAUGUUUGAUGUGUGCAUCUUAUGAGGUUGAUGUCUACAUGUGUUUUGAUCUAUGCUAUGUCUUCUUUACAGAGGUGCUUACCAUGUAUUUUUGUGAUCAAUGUGGUGACUAGCACAAGCAUGCAAACUAGGCAUCGUGAUGAUGCUGAUUUUAGUCCCUGUUCUGCUGUUAUUUUGAUGCCAUGUAAACAUGAUGCUACAGAGAGAUCCAUGCAUAUUUUGAGAUACUUCAGUAAGGAUAUUUUGAACAUAUGGUUAUUGUAUAUCCAUUCAUGCCCCUGUUGGAAAUUAUGGAGUAGUCUAGCAUGUCAUUUUCGUGAUCUACUUUUGCUACAAAAUGUUUCCUGGCAGAUUGUUUACAUGUUAUUCAAUUUUGCCAAGGUUGUUGUAGUUGAACGUUGCAUGCUAUGAAGUUGUUCUUGCCUUGGUUUGUUUCAUAAACCUGUCUUAUUGAUGAUGCUAUGCUUAUCUUGUCAUGCAAUGACUUGUGGUGAGUGAAUCGAGCUAGUUAAGUAGUGUACUUGUUGUUACUGUUUGCUAGGUUGAAUCUGUUAUUUCGCGAUGCUAUAUAAACCUGCUGCUACAACUCAUUCUAUGCAUAAUCUGGAGAUGUUCACUAAAUAUGUUUUGUUCUACAUGUCAUGCUCUAUCCAUCCAUGCCCCUGGUUGCAUUUAUAGCUUGCUGUAGCUUGUUCAUAUCUUGCUUCAAAGUUGCUUGAUAAUGUUGUUGUCAGCCUGUUAACAUUAAGUUCAGUUGUUGCCAUGUGUUUUUCUAGUCAUCUAUGUACCCUAUGAACUUGCUCUUGCCAUGCUUAGCUUCACAAACAUGCCUUCUUACUGUUGGUUACCUUUCCAUGCCAUGUUUUGCUCUGUGGUGAGUGAUACAAGCUCAUCUACAUGCCUUCAUAAUUCUGUUUCUGCCAUGUUUGAAUCUGUAUUAUAACUUGCUAUGUUUACAUGGGUGCCAUCACAUUUUCUGUUCCUUUUUGGCUCAUGGUCAGUAAGGGACUUUUUUUCUAUGCAUUUAGUAAUAUCAUGCCAUGCUUUUAUUUGUCAUGAUAUGUUUCUAUAACAUGUUGUUUGAUCGCUCUGAACAUUGCAACCUGAUGUUAUUUUCUGCAAAGUCUGAACUGUUAUUAUUUGCAAUCUUGCCAUGUGUGUUUAAGCAUGUUCUAGUGAUUUCUGGAGAUAGCUCAGUGUUCAUGUUUUGUUAUGCUUUACCUGUACAUCAUGUCCAUGCCUUUUGUUUUCUUGUUGAGAUGUUGUAGCAUGUUUUUUUGAAGCUUGCAAUAUGCCUAGUUGCUGUUUUGGACAGCUUGUCCUUUAAACUUGCUUCAUGUGUGUGUGUUGAACCGUUGCUCCGUUUUGAGUGUGCUCUAUACGAAACUUUCUUAGAAUUGCAUGUAGUUCCAUAUUAUCAUGUUGCAUCCUUGUUUUGAGGUGUUUUACUUGAUGUUUGAAUGCAUUUUGCAUCAAUGCCAUGUUUAACUUCUUUUGCUCAUAUCUUCUAGGCCGUAGCUCCGAAUUAAAUGAACUUUACAUGUAACUUGACUAGAAUCUCAUGUAGAUCAUCUCGGUGCAUCUUAACUUGCUGUUUAACAACUUGAAAUAUGGUUUAUUCAGAUCUGUACCAACUUCGAAAUUUGCAUACAAGGACUUACCGAAAUUGUUAUAUGUUGUUCCCGACCUCAUUUAAACUUGCCUUGAUGUGUUGCUCUUGUUUGCAUCAUCUCUUGCCAUGAGUAGCUUCAUGUAGCUUUGUCUUGCAUCAUGCUUGUUGUGCAUCAUGUCUUGUUCAUGUGUGGUGUGUUUACUAUGUUGUGUGUUUCUUCUCGAUAGUUCCUGUUUCGUUGCGAUCGUGAGGAUUCGUUCGUCUACGCUUGGUUCGGCCUCAUCUGUUCGUCUUCUUCAUGGACUCAUUAUUCUUCCUUGCAGGAUUUCAGGCAAGAUGACCGCUACCCUGGAUCUCACUACUAUCAUUGCUAUGCUAGUUGCUUCGUUCUAUCGGUAUGCUGCGCUACCUAUCUUUUGCUCAUCAAGCCUCCCAUAUUGCCAUGAACCUCUAACCUUUGACACCUUUCCUAUGCAAACCGUUGCUUGCCUAUGUUACCGCUUUGCUCAGUCCAUCUUAUAGCGUUGCUAGUUGCAGGUGAAGUUGAAGAUUGCUCCAUGGUGGACAGGAUUUUGGUUGGGAUAUCACAAUAUCUCUUAUAUUAUUAAUGCAUCAAAAUACUUGGUAAAGGGUGGAAGACUCGGCCUUUUGCUUGGUGUUUUGUUCCACUCUUGCCGCCCUAGUUUCCGUCAUACCGGUGUUAUGUUCCCGAAUUUUACGUUUCUUACGCGGUCGGGUGAUUUAUGGGACCCCCUUGACAGUUCGCUUUGAAUAAAACUCCUCCAGCAAGGCCCAACCUUGGUUUUACCAUUUGCCUCAACACCACCUAUACCUUUCCCUUGGGUCGGCCAACCCAAAGGUCAUCUUUAUUUUAGCCCCCCCCCCCCCCGGGCCAGUGCUUGUCUAAUUUUUGGUCCGAACCGAGUAGACUGCGGGGCCCCCUCGGGGAAACUCAAGGUCUGGUUUUACUCGUAGGAUGUCUCAUCUAGUGUUGCCCUGAGAACGAGAUAUGUGCAGCUCCUAUCGGGAUUGUCGGCACAUCAGGCGGCUUUGCUGGUCUUGUUUUACCAUUGUCGAAAUAUCUUGUAAACUGGGAUUCCGAGUCUGAUCGGGUCUUUCUGGGAGAAGGUAUAUCCUUCAUUGAUCGCGAGAGCUUAUCAUGGGCUAAGUUGGGACAUCCCUGCAGGGUAUAAUCUUUUGAAAGCCGUGCCUGCGGUUAUAGGUAGAUGGGAAUUUGUUAAUGUCCGGUUGCAGAUAACUUGACAUCAGAUCCGAAUUAAAACGCAUCAACCGUCUGUGUAGCCGUGAUGGUCUCUUUUCGGCGGAGUCCGGGAAGUGAACACGGUUUUUGGGUUAUGUUUGACGUAAGUAGGAGUUUAGGAUCACUUCUUGAUCAUUACUAGUUGACGACCGUUCCUUUUGCUCUCUUCUCGCUCUUAUUUGCGUAUGUUAGCCACCAUACUUGCUUAGUCGCUGCUGCAGCCUCACCACUUUACCCCUUCCUUUCCCUUUAAGCUUUGCUAGUCUUGAUACCCAUGGUAAUGGGAUUGCUGAGUCCUCGUGGCUCACAGAUUACUACAACAACAGUUGCAGGUACAGGUUUAUAUGAUGAUCAUGACGCGAGAGCGAUGUUUGCUUAUUUGGAGUUCUUCUUCUGCUUCUUCUUCGAUCAGGGGAUAGGUUCCAGGUCGGCAGCCUGGGCUAGCAGGGUGGAUGUCGCUUGAGUUUUUGUUUGAGUUUCAUCCGUAGUCGGAUGGUGUUCUUGUAAGAUGAUGUUGUAUUCGUGUGGCAUUGUAUGCCUCUUGUAUGUAUCCCUAUCUAUUAUGUAAUGUUGAUGUAAUGAUAUCCACCUUGCAAAAGCGUUUCAAUAUGCGGGUCUAUCCUUGGUGGGACCUUCGAGUUCCUUUUGGAUAGAGUCGCAUAUUGGGCGUGACAAGUCGGGACACACCUGGUCGAAGCGUACGUAGCGUUGUCAUUCUGGUCACGAACGUGUAUGUACAUACUGGUGGAUGCAGAGGCGCGCAUGUGUCGUAGUAGAAGCGCACACGUGUCGUAGUAGAGGCACGCACGUAGCAUGUACACGUACGUAUAGCGGCCAGGGUGCAAGAAAGAAAAUACAGUCACGUACGUACAUAUGGGCGGGGUCUCAAACGCCUACUCGCGCAUACGUAUGGCCAGGGCUCGUGUACAUGGCUGGGUCGGAAUGGAGAAGCAGCGUCGUCGUCGUGUUCAUGGGGAGCCAACCGGCUGGGUCGGAACAGAAUGCGCCGUCGUGUUCAUCGGGAGGGCUUGGACGGAACAAGCGAUGGAAAUGAGGCGUACCGCAGAACGGAGGAAACGGCCUUGUGUUCGACCGGCCACGUUCGAAACGGGAUCCUGUUCAUCGUGAGGGGUCUGGCGUACCGCAAAACGGAGGAAACGGACCUCCUACGGAUGAAAUGGGGGUCCUGUUGAUCGGGAGGGGUGUGGCGUACCGCAAAACGGAUGAAACGGACUUGUGUUGGAGCGCUACGGUUGAAACAGGGGUCUUGUUCAUCGGGAGGGGUAUGGCGUACCGCAAAACGGGACUCCACGGGAUACUGUUCAUCUCCACUGUCGACCUCCUCCAGCCUCCACGGGCUACUGUUCAUCCACCGUUGACCUCCUCCAGCCUCCACCUACGACUGUUCAUCCAUGGGCUCCUGUUCAUCCAGCCUCCACUGCGCGCUACUCCACCGGCUACUGUUCAACCACCCCUCUCCACGGGCUCCUGUUCAACCACCCCUCCACGGGCUACUGUUCUCCACCCCUCCAUCGUCUACUGUUCAUCCAGCCCUCCACGGGGUCGUCCUGUUCAUCCAGCCCUCCACGGGGUCCUGUUCAUCCAGCCCCAACCGACUCGAUCGAUCGGGGUCCUGUUCAUCCAGAGGCAACGCCCGGGUCCUGUUCAUCCACUCCNNNNNNNNNNNNNNNNNNNNNNNNNNNNNNNNNNNNNNNNNNNNNNNNNNNNNNNNNNNNNNNNNNNNNNNNNNNNNNNNNNNNNNNNNNNNNNNNNNNNNNNNNNNNNNNNNNNNNNNNNNNNNNNNNNNNNNNNNNNNNNNNNNNNNNNNNNNNNNNNNNNNNNNNNNNNNNNNNNNNNNNNNNNNNNNNNNNNNNNNNNNNNNNNNNNNNNNNNNNNNNNNNNNNNNNNNNNNNNNNNNNAUCUAGAGAGGCAUCAUCUAUUGGCUUCAGUUAGCAGCAGUAUCGAAGGAAUCGCUUGACCGGGUUCAGUUAACAACCAUCAAUUAAUCGCUCAAGUUCAGUAACGCGUAGCCUGCAGUGCAAUCGCUCGGGUUCAGUUAGAGCCCAACGCCUCGCUCGGGUUCAGUUAGAGCCAACGCCUCGCACACACAUGCGUACGUGUACGAGAGAAACUGUCGUAGAAAGGUCACGACAGAUGUCCUGGCAAAAGGACUUAGUCAUGGAGCCAUCGCAACUGGGAAGCUUAAAGGGGUUAAAACGGGACAAAGGACACUGGAGUUUAUACUGGUUCGGCCCCUUGCGGUGAAGGUAAAGGUCUAAUCCAGUUUGAGAUGGUAUUGCUUAUGUCUCAAUUACCGGGGAGCGAAACCCACUUGACCUAGUUGUCGAUUUGAUGUUACUUGUCCUGAACCGCUGUCGGGUCGUCCCUUUAUAUAUAGAGGUCGGCGCCCAGCGGCUCACGGGGUCCCGGACGGCUCAUAAACAGUGUCCGGCUCGGUGACUAUCUAUUCCUGCCUUACAAUACAAGUCAUAUACAUACGGCAGUUUAUCUCUACGGGCCUUAAGCCGCCUUUGGGCCUUGGGCCCUUAACUGAACUUCCAUCUUCGAGUGUCAUCUUGGGCUUCAUCUUAUGAAUCGCCUAAGGUAUAACCCGGCCCCUCCUGGGCAGGUCAUACCUAAUAGUUAUACCUCCAAUAAAAAGGCUAGAUUUUUAUUUGGUCAAGUAGUCUAACCAACCCCCCUCUAGACAUACUUUCGAUCCUAUAGGAUCAAACUGAAGCACGACGUAUAGUUCGGCGCUCUAAACCAUACAAGGUACAUGGGGGUGAACUCUAUAAGAAGAGUACCACAAGAGUCUUACAUAGGCGCAUCUCCAAAGAAAAGGGGCAGUAGCUCUUGGCUACACGCGGGCAUGGGCGGACACCACACGGCAGCUUGGGUUUUGGUCAGCAAGGCUUUCCGUGCAGGUUUCUUCUAGCCUACCGCCCAUGAAGAUGCCCGGACAUUAGUCUAACAUUGCGUAGGAUGCCAGUUGUUCGCAAAUCAAAGCCACAUGCCCCCCCAAGCUCUUCGGACGAUACCAAUAACAUGGCCUUUCUCGGUCUAGGGCCUCCGGUCGGGCCACUCAAAGGGGGGACAAACAAAAAGAAGUACCUAUUGGUCCUGGUCGACAAAUUCACCAAGUGGAUCAAACCAAGGCCCAUCACUUCGGCAGAAUCUCGACUGGUCGUCGACUUCUUAUCCGACAUCGUACACCGUUAUGGUGUCCCCCACAACAUAAUUAUCGAUAAUGGUACCAACUUCACCACCCAGGAAGUUAAAGACUGGUGCGGCAAAAUGGGCAUUAAUCUCGAUUACGCCUCGGUGUACCACCCACAUACAAACGGACAGGUCGAGCGAGCCAAUGGGCUCAUUAUGAGCGGCAUUAAGACUCUCCUAGUCCGAUCACUUAAACAAUCAGACUGCCAUUGGGUCGAGAAACUUGAUUCCAUACUAGCGGGGCUACGCAGUACUCCUAACCGGUCAACCGGAUACACACCAUUUUUUAUGGCAUACGGUGCGGAAACUGUCCUCCCAUGCGACCUUAUCCAUGACGCGCCUAGAGUGCGCAUGUAUGAAGAAAAGGAAGCCGAGCUGGAUCAGCAGGAUGAUUUGGAUGCUCUGGAAGAAAAACGGGAUAUAUCUCGAGCUCAAUCCACGUUCUAUCAACAGCAAGCACAACGUUACCACAACCGUGAAGUUAGGGCGAAUACAUACAACGUGGGGGAACUGGUCCUCUGACUCCCCGAAAAACAGAAGAAUAAACUAUCACCCAAAUGGGAGGGACCGUACAUCAUCGAUGAAGUACUCAUAGGAGGAGCAUAUCGCCUUCGCCGUCCAUCUGAUGACUGCCUCGAGCCGAACCCAUGGAACGCAGCUCGGCUGCGGCGUUUUUACGCUUGAGUUUGACAUACAUGCCUACCUUUUCCUUCUUUUUAUUUUUCCUUUCUUUCUUUUCGACAUGGUAAGAGUCCGGUUAAACCAAACCAUACCAAGAUCAUAUUAUAUACAUCAUUGAAUGUAACACCCAGCCUUGCCUGGGGGCUCCCUCAAAUGAGGUGAAUAAUGUGUAAAUCGCAUUCGUACCGAUUGCAUCCUUCUCACACAUGUUAAGCCAACACAUGCACUUAUUUGACUUAAGAUCUUUGCCAAGAUGGGUUGCCUGGCUCGUGUGUUUACCCAUACGUUCCCGAUUGUUUGGCUAGGGAGUAAAGGGAGCACCUGUACGAUUGUUACAACUGGGUCAUCCGGGACUGUACCUCGGACGGGUGAAGCUGAAAGCUAGCGUUCUUACAGAAUACAAUAAGUCGGCCUAAGGGAAGUGAAUAUAGCCUCGCGCUUAUCACCAGGGUUUUUUCGCGACCAUUGGUUUCUGUUGAUCCUACGUAUCAGGAUUAUAAUCUUACCCGAAGAAAGGAACCCUUGGAUGAACUAUUUUCAUCAGAAGAUGUUUCUUAUGUCAAACAGUAAUAUAACAUAACUCUCCACACAUGUUUCGUCUGUUUGAGCUAGAUGGACGGAUUGCCUGGUUCCCGAAGUAUUGCCUUGUUUCCCAAAGCACAUAGUAUGGAAACUUCCCGAUCACUGAUCGGGGAGGUAGAAGCCGAUGGUCAGUUAAGACAACAUUCUUUAAAUUAACAAUAAGAACGUGAAUCGAGCUCGGUCAACGUAAAGUACAUAGAUACGUAGAGUUGACAAAACUAUUCUUGAUCGACAUUGCCUAUCAAUUGCUCUAAAGCACAAUCCUUCUGAGAAUAGCGAGCAACUGGCAUCACAUCAUCAUACACCAAGCUUAGAGGUAUCUCUUGGCCGUCAAGGGCCACGGGACCAACCCAGGCCAUAUGUACCUGAUCUAGCUUGGUGAAGUGGGUCUUUACCAUAGCCCACACUUCACGCGCCCCUUCUCGGCAGGACAAAGUCUUCCAUAAUUAAAACCUUCUCCGAGCUCCCUUAAAGCGACUGGCUAGUUCGGCCAUACCUUCGGGCGGCACAUCUAACGGCCAUAACACCUUCGCCAUGCUCUUCAUGGCUUUCCGGGCCUUCUCGUAAGUCUUCGACAGCUCCUUUAAAAGGUUCCCGUCAUAAGUGCUUGCUUCUUCCUCAGGCCGCCCAGUCAGGAGACGUAACAAGCAGGUGUUGCACAUCAUCAUUAACACAUCAAUGAUACUUGCCAACGGAAUGGUAAGAUCAGCGCUUACCAAAUAUGCACCUUUUAGCUUCUGGAUUUCCUCCAAAGCUUGUGCCACCCGAGUUUUUAAAAUCCUAAUUUCCUCGGCCUUCCGCUGAUUCUCCGCCUUGAGCUCAUUUUUCUCCUCCUGACUUUGCAUCAGCACUUGUUUUCCAGCCUCCAGCUCCCUCCGCAACUCGCUUACAAUUUCCGCGGCUAUACAGAGAAAAUGGUGUUAAUGCAUAGAAUACACCGUAUACUUGUGAAACCAUUUUUUCUACUUACCGGACAACCUGCUACUCGCUUUUCGAGCCGCAUCCAGUUCAGCUUUGGUUUCGACCAAUUGUGUCCGGCUCGCCUCAAGGUCCUCGGACAGAUUUUUGCUCUGGUCUCUUGCGGCCUACAAACAUAAUAUCAUUAGACACCCUUAACUCGGCAGUCCUGCCCAAAUUAAGGCUUGGGGCCUAGCUGGUUAGGGAACAUGAUCUGCUUUCAAGCUAUUUUGGUUAUAUACCUGCACCUUGGCGGCAAAAAUACCGGCGAUCCCUUCAAGACCUGGUCGGGCCGCUCCAAGGUAUGCAUCUACCGAAUUAAAAACACUAAAUUCUUGUUCGGCAAAGGCAGUAUGACGCAAAGUCUCCCUCCGGCAGCGAUGAUUCAUUACGCUCUCGACUUUAGAGUUGGUGACCGAAACAUCAUUGGAGUCUGCCGGAGGCGCGCUGGCUGCCGCGUGUUCGGAGGAAGCUCUGGCUUGUGCCGAGGACUUAGGACCGGAGCUGUGAUUUGGCACACCUGGGGAAUCUUUGGACUGGUGCAAAGGCAUACGCCUUCUACAAAAUGGAGCAAGCUUCAAUAAAAGGGUACUAAGAGCAACCCUCGCUGUAAUUCUGAAAUGCGUUACCUCUGGGCCAAGGAGGCAGGUGCUUCCGCUUCGACGGAGGCUUUCCGCUUUGACCUCCCAUUAGAGGCCGAAGCUGGCGCGCUCCGCGCUCCUCCCAAGACGGUCUUUCCUGUAGUGCGGCGACCCUUGGGAGCAGAAGUCAGCACGUGGGGAGUAGCGCGAGAUGAGCGCCCUGUUCGGGAGAGGGUCUUCUUUUCAGUUACUGUGGAAGAGGGAAGAGCCCCAGGGUGAUCGGCUAUCACAACAACCUUGAUGCCAUCAGGGCUCUCCUGAUAAAACACCCCGUCUUCAAAAUCAAUCGACGUCUCUAGGUCGUCAUGGUACCCCAGAUCGUCAUCACGGGAAUGAUCCUCCGGCUGAGGAGGAGGGCAAUUAAUGGACGCAACCUGACGCCUCCAACCAUGAUCAAAUACAACUAGUCAGAGUUCGGGUGUAGCCCAUGAGCUCAAAGACAAUGGAUCGUGGCUUACCCAGUCCGUCGGAUUGUAUCGGGCGCAACCUUCCCGGAUACUCAUUCGAGCAAAAUCUGCCUCCUCUCCCUUGAAGAGCUCGGCCAAUAUUUUGGCCAGAGCCGCCUUAUUGUCUAGCCCUUGUCGCUGGUAGUGGGUUACGUCGUUGGUCCCAUUGUAGAACCAUAAAGGAUGACCCCUUUGCUGCAGGGGUUGCACGCAUUGGGUAAUUACGAUGGGCAUUACUUUGAUCAUGGUCAGCUUGCUACUAGUUAGCAGCCUGAUCUUGGCCGCCAGCAUAAGCACCUCUUUGAUGUCCUGUUGGGACGGGCCUCUGUGCCGCGAGUUGAACCGUUUUAUAGGUGGGUUGUUGGAGUAUUCGGGUAGCCAUUGCCGAAUUGGAUCGGUGAGAGGAACAUAUUCAAUAUAAAACCACUCCGAGGUCCAUCCUUCAGGAUCCUUUUGUGGGGUCCCAAUUGGGUACCCUAUCCCAGCUAUUCGCCAUACUUCGGCGCCGCCCACCUCGAAUAUGGAUCCCUCUCGGAGGCGGGGGGACAAGACAGAAAAACUUCCUCCACAAGUCAAAGUGGGCCUCGCAACUCAAAAUUAUCUCGCACAGGGCUACAAAGCCAUAGAUGUGCAAUAUGGACCCCGGAGUGAGGUUGUGGAGCUGGAUCCCGUAGAACUCCAACAAACCCCGUAAAAAGGGAUGGAUAGGAAAGCCCAAUACUCUUAGAAGGAAGGGCACGAGGCAUGCCCUCUUCUCCCUACUCGGAGCGGUGGAGUUCUCGGCGAGGGCGCAGCAAUCAAUGGAGAUGAGACCGGCACGGACGGGGACCAAAUCUGCUGGAGGGAGGAAGCAUUGCGUCUGCAAGCGCCUCAGAUGAAAGUGUGAAAUUGAACAGCUCAACCAAUCGCCUCGGAGUGGGUCGUGCGGGCGCGAGGAUGAACCUGGGAGGUCAGCCAUGGCGCCGAGGAAUUUCUUUGGUGAUUUUUCUUGUGAGAGGGGGGAAGUGAAUCGUCCCCCGUACCUUUGGAUCUAUAAAUGGGUGUCUUACCUUGAAGCUGGAAGGACGGGCUCGUGGAAAGUUGGCAUUAGGCCGCACGCCUUCUAAAAAGGUGCACGAUGCUCUUGCCCCGGGGAAUGGCAUUAAACUCUGAUGGUCCCACCUCGAUCUCACGAUAUCUUCGAAGCCCAGAAUCUUGACAUGUCCGGGCCUGAGCACUUUAGUCCGACUUCCAGAUAGGGUUCGGCGAGAUUGAUACGUCUCCAAACUGAAUAGAGGAGUGGAAGAACUUGUCUCGCAAGCCGACGAUCUGAAGAUUCCGUAGGACAAUCCCCGGUGUUGGAGGCAAGUUCGGGGGCUACUAAGGGAGUUACGGACUAAGGGGUCCUCAAGGCGCCGGCCCAUCAAUAUGGGCCGGACUGGUGAAGUCGUACAGCAACGAGAGAUUUAUGAAGUCGUGGUGUGCCCUCCAAGUCAAGGAUAGGCAGAUCUCUUUAUUCCUUAUUGUAAUCUAUCUCCGGUAACCCUAACCCUAUUGGUGCCUAUACAAACCGAGGAUUGUAGUCUUUAGUAGGGCCAUUCAUUACCUCAUCGCCUUAGGGUUUAGCUCAUGCUGAUCUCGAGGUAGACCUACCGUGUAAACCAUACUAUACAUCCAAUAUAAUCAAGCAAAACGUAGGGUAUUACCUCUUCGAGAGGGACCGAACCUGGGUAAACACUGUGUUCGUCGUCCCUUAUUCCCCAUCGAUCCUAGAUCCACAGCUCGGGACCCCCUACCCUGAGGUCUGUCGGUUUUGACAUCGACACUAGGGUUGCGGGCGCCGCCCGGGUUAAAUAGACGAAUUUGGUCUCGAGUGACGAGCCGGAGCGGUGCCACGUGGCGUUCACACCACAGCGACGAAGGAGGCGUCCGUCAGAUCAUCGGGUUUCCAGACGAGUCCGUGUGAGACCCCUUCGUCUAUGUGACGGGCGCGCCCGGGCGUCCCAAUAUCCGCCUCGUAUUUGGGUUGGAUAUGAGAGGUGCCGGCAGUCCAAAUGUUUGAGGUUUGAGGGGCCGUCUAGGUCAAAAAUCGUGACCGGGCGGCCUGCCCGAACGUAUGAGCCGGGUUUGGGGCGUCCGGUUGCAGAUGUUUUAAGGGAGUCCCCGAUUUUGAGAUUUUAGUGAAACUGCUGAACUUAGGAUGAAAAGCCGGCCACAGCAGCACUCGGUCCACUUCUCCCGCGACAACCGCAAAAGACGGCGGCGGCCAUGCCUCGUUCCAAACCUUGACAUACGCCAUCGUUUAUACCAACGCCCCGACAUUAUGACCUCUUUGUUUCUAUCACCGCCCUUGCCGCUAAAACCACACACAUCUUUGUAUGCUUCUGCUCGCGACGCCCAUAUUUAUAUAUCCGCGAAUAAUCUGUAACACUACACACACGAGCUUCGACUAUCAAGUAGUAGGAGCAAGAAAUACCAGUCGAGGUAGCACAACAGGUAUCCCUCGGUUUUCUGCAACCAUGAGCAAGCCACUCCUCGAGCUGAUGGCGGCCGUGGACGCCAGCCCUGUGGCCGCGGAGGACGACGGGGCUAACUUGGUAUCCCGACGCCGUGCGAGCUACGGCCGCAGCCGACAGACCGUGCCGGUGGUGGCGCCGCAGACCCGGCCCGCGUCGUCGACGGAGACGGACUCCAGCUUCGAAUUCAGCGCCGUGAUCAGCAACAGCUCGGCGUCGCCCGCCAGCAUGGUGUUCUCGGACGGCCAGCUCCGGGCGCACCAGUUCCCCGCCGUGCGGUCACCGGCGGGCUGCAGCCAGGUCGCGUCGCCGGUGCUGGGCUCAUCCGUGGGUGGCACGACCGGGAGCAAGAAGCGUGUCAGCUUCGCGGCGGAUGGUGCCGGGAAGAAGUCCAGCGGCGCGCAGAAGAAAGGCGGCGGCGGCAUGCUGGGGUGCAUCGGGUCAGCGUGCGGGCUGUCUCGUGACGAAGUGGUGGAGCCGACCAUCAACGCUAAUCGUAAGGUUGUGUGUGUUUGAUUGUUGAAUUUGGCAGUAAGUGAUCUUGCGUAUGCGCGCUAACUUGUGCAUUCCAGUUCGUGUUGUUUGGUCCGCCCUGCUUUGAUUAAUCUUCCUUUGUCGUCACGGCCUCACGGGUGAUGGAGUCAUCAAGACACCUAAAUUUCUUUCGUCUCCCCCUCAUUUGUUCAAAUGUAUCACGUAUACAAAUCCCCAAACGCAGCCCUUAUGUGGGGAGGAAAUGGGGUGUCCAGGCAUGUUCAGCCAGCCACGUUAAACACAGUCCAACCCAGACCACUUUCGCUCUUUCUUUGUCUCUCUUCAUCUCCACCAAUUAUAUGCACGUGUCCGUAUAAUUUUGGGGGACAUGGCUGUGUGCAUGGAUAAAUGAGCGUCCAGAGCGGAUACAUCUUGCCAAUGUCCACAGACAAAUGAGGGGCCAAAUUAGCCUAGCCCGGCUGAAAAUGCUCUACUAACCGAAAUAUAGAGAAACUCCAUUGAACAAACUAAUUUAAUUGGUUCCUAAAAUAUCUAUAACAAGAAUGGAUCACAUCACAAGAAAGGCCACAAAGAAGCACGACUACUCGACUAGGCGUGGCUCUAGAGAUGUAAUGUGGUAGGCCGGUCGAGCAUGAUAUAACAAGACAACUAAGAGUGGAGCAAACAUGAUCACAAUGGCUUAACAUGAUCAUUUGUAGUACUGUGUUUUUACAACUAACUUGCUUUCUGACUUACUGGCUGAAGAGCAAAGAGACAUCUUUUUUGUUCAUUCUUUUUUCUUUCCUGGCUCUUAUCGCUUCAAUGGCCCAGCUCCGGUGGAGAGGCUGUCACUGAUCUGAAAAGUAGUCUAUAGUUCAGAUAGACUAAUUCUGCAAAUGCCUAACCCCUGGAAUCAAUUUCAAAAAUUAAGCGUCAAGUUUCCAUAGCAAGUCGUGGGUAUUUAGCUAGUUAUAAGGCUAAUCUAAUUGCCGUUGAUCAUCUAUCUGUACCAAAAAGGAUCACGUCAGAGUUCGCGAGGAAGCACGGCCAAGUGUGGCUCUAGAGGUGUAAUGCCAUAGGUCAGAACAUAAUGUAACAGCACAGCAAGACGUAGCACAAACAUGAACCCUUCACAAUGGCUUAGCAUGAUCAGUUAUGGGUAUUUUUUGGUAGCAAAUCACGGGUACUUAGCUACUAAAACCUAAUUCAACUGCCGCCGGUCAUCUAUGCCAUGACCAUAUUCUUUGCUUAUUUAGUCCAGAGAAUGUACAAAAUGAAGUCACGAGGUAACUGAAAUCAAACAUGCACUUCAUAAAGUCUCUGCAACAGCAAGAAUUUAGAAACACAUGAACCAGCAACUUGAUCUUUCAGUACCAGGCAUGAGGGAAAAAAACCACUUGGUUUCUUUGUCAGGAAAGGUCAUAACAGUAUGUUGAACAGCACACCUAACAAAUGCACAAUCUUAGCUGCCAACCUCAGGUUUGUGAUGCUAUACCAGUUACCCACAGAACCACUCUGGUCUUUUGGACAGUUCGAGCAAACCUCAGACGAGAAACAGAAACUGAUUCAACGCAAAUUUUAAAAAGCAGGGUUUAAACAAUAUUGUAAAAAUAGAACUAUCUUCUCAGUGCAAUGGUAACCUCUAUUUUUGUAUGUCCUUCUACCUCCAUAUUGUUAGUUUAUCACCCAACCAUUAUGCAUGAAUAUGACACAGUAGCAGGUAUGCGGAAGUACCAGAAAACAAUCCACCAUGAAAGAACAGUAGCACCUACUGACUGUGGAAACUAAGUAAGAAACAUCAAUAACAUCAACCAUUGCUAGCUUCAAUGUCAUAGACAGCCACAAGCCAACAAACACCAUCAACACACAUUGCUGGUAGCUCUGGCCUAUCUGUCGCUGUGUCGCGUGAAAGGAUAUCAGAAAUUUCACAAAAAGAAGACAAACAUGACUAUGUUAUAAAAUGUAAAUAUUGGCGAGCCUUGUAUGUUAUCAUAAAAUAAGCAUUGAAGCAAAGCCUGCCAAAUUAGUACCAUUUUCAAUCUAAUAAACUACUACUUCCGUCCCAUAAUGUAAGAUGUUUUUUGAUACUAGUGUAGUGUCAAAAAACGUCUUACAUUAUGGGACGGAAGGAGUAUUACAUUCACUCAGCUUUGACACAGCUAAACCUUCUUCAUUCAUAUAAACUCCAUGCUGGUUUUCCUAAUGCAUCCUCAGCCAUCUUUCUAGAUGAAAAGAAAUAUUCUUGAAAGCUAGCAUAAAGCAUAGGUAGAAGAAACUGAAGCUUCACGAUUUAGUAUUUGGUAAACUGCACUUCUCAUCUAGCAACACAUGACCAACUAAAUUAAAAUGACUUAAUUCUGUAUGCAGACAUAGCUGCAUAGUGCACACCUAGCAUUGCAAUCGGGUAGUCUUCAUUGGAAUGCCAACUACUAGUAGUACAUGUUACUAUGUUAGUUGUUGUUUUGGGUGCAAAACUAGCAGCUCCAUUCAGUCAUCCAAAAAUUGACUAUCAUUGAUCUAUUGUAAUUUAGAAAAACAACUGUAGUUUAAAGUUACAUAAAUACCUAAAAACACUUAUAAAAGUAUGCAUGUGGCCUUUUAGAAGACAAUAUGUGCCUAUUUUCAACCCAAAAUAGAUGGUAUGUACGUAGUAUUUACUUAAUCAGCUCAGCAAUAUACUAUCCUCUCUGUACAUAAAUAUAAGACGUUUUAGAGACUUGACAGAGUCUCUAAAACGUACUAUUCAACAGAAUGAAACCUAACUAAGAACUAACGCAAUCCAAGUGCAUAAGGUUAAAAUGGACCAAAGCAAACACUGCUACACCAGCCAAACAGAACAAACUCAACACAGAAGGAACAAGCAUACAAUUGGCACCAUUGCUACGAAUAUUCAUUGGUACAAUCUGCUUGCAAUCUACUGCAGCCAGUACAGAUGACCUGACGAAUCAUUCAUGCACACCUUAAGGACAAUGAUGCACCCCUGACAGGCUGAUAAUAGCUUAAAGUUUGUAGCAAGGUACCAUGUUCAUGAAACAAACAUCAAUUCCCCAUCUCAUAGGCAUCUCUAAUAAAGUAGUAGUAGUAACAAUACAUAAUCCCCAACGAAAUGCCAAAAUAGCAGCACUUCCAGGUGGAUCAAGGCUCGGGGUCAGCACCUUAC